rnacentral:lncRNA from 1 species
UUUUUUUUAGUGAAAUUUCAGGUGAGAAAAGUCAAAACUUCUACGUCAGGAGACCUCACCAGAGCGACGAAGGGACUGAGGAGUAAAAAGAAUCCUACUCUCCGGUAUAUAUAAUCCUAAGACUCAAACCAUUUUUGUUCUAGAGUCAACAACGUCAGCGAUUCGAUCAAGCAGGGGGCUCCUAAGUCGGGGAUGGCUCUGAUUACCAACUUGUAACACCCAUGAUGCGGCUAUAUCUCCCACGUGUCGAGGCACGACUUAGAGGCAUAAACGCACUAUGGUUUUGUCGCAAGAAGGGUCAUCUUCACACAAUCCCAUGUAAUGAACAAGAAUGGGAUAAAGAGUUGGCUUACAAUCGCCACUUCACACAAUACAUAAAUAAAUCAUACAUCAAUCAGAGUACACACAUAGGUCCGACUACGGAACCAAAAUAAAAGAAGACAACCCCAAAUGCUAGAUCCCCGAUCGUCCCAACUAGGCUCCACUGCUGAUCAUCAGAAAACGAAACAUAGUAACGACCAAGGUCCUCGUCGAACUCCCACUUGAGUUCGGUAGCAUCACUUGCACUGGUAUCCUCGGCACCUGCAACUGUUUGGAAGAAUCUGUGAGUCACGAGGACUCAGCAAUCUCACACCCGCGAGAUCAAGACUAUUUAAGCUUAUGGGUAGGAGAAGGUAGUGAGGUGGAGCUGCAGCAAGCACUAAGCAUAUAUGGUGGUUAACAUACGCAAAUAAGAGCGAGAAGAGAAGCAACGGAACGGUCGUGAAGCUAACAAUGAUCAAGAAGUGAUCCUGAACUCCUACUUACGUCAAACAUAACUCAAAAGCCGUGUUCACUUCUUGGACUCCGCCGAAAAGAGACCAUCACGGCUACACACGCGGUUGAUGUAUUUUAAUUAAGUCAAGUGUCAAGUUCUCUACAACCGGAUAUUAACAAAUUCCCAUCUGCCACAUAACCGCGGGCACGGCUCUCGAAAGUUUAUACCCUGCAGGGGUGUCCCAACUUAGCCCAUUAUAAGCUCUCACGGUCAACGAAGGAUAUUCCUUCUCCCGGGAAGACCCGAUCAGUCUCGAAAUCCCGGUUUACAAGACAUUUCGACAAUGGUAAAACAAGACCAGCAAAGCCGCCCGAUGUGUCGACAAUCCCGAUAGGAGUCACACGUACCUCGUUCUCAGGACACACCGGAUGAACACUACGUACAACUAAAACCAGCCCUCAAGUUUCCCCGAGGUGGCGCUGCAAGUGGCUCUAGUUUGGACCAACUCUCCGAGGAGCACUGGCCCGGGGGGUAAAAUAAGAUGACCCUUGAGUCUACAGAACCCAAGGGAAAAAGGCUUAGGUGGCAAAUGUUAAAACCAAGGUUGGGCCUUGCUGGAGGAGUUUUCUUCAAAGCGAAAUGUCAAGGGGGUCCCAUAAAUCACCCAACCAUGUAAGGAACGCAAAAUCAAGGAACAUAACACCGGUAUGACGGAAACUAGGGCGGCAAGAGUGGAACAAAACACCAGGCAUAAGGCCGAGCCUUCCACCCUUUACCAAGUAUAUAGAUGCAUUAAUUAAAAUAAGAUAUAUUGUGAUAUCCCAACAUAAACAUGUUCCAACAUGGAGCAAUCUUCAACUUCACCUACAACUAACACGCUAUAAGAGGGGCUGAGCAAAAGCGGUAACAUAGCCAAACAACGGUUUGCUAGGAAGGGUGAAAAAAGGUUAGAGGUUCAUGGCAAUUUGGGAGGCUUGAUAAGCAAGUGGUAGGUAGCGCGGCAUAGCAAUAGAGCGAACAACUAGCAAGCAAAGAUAGAAGUGAUUUCGAGGGUAUGGUCAUCUUGCCUGAGAUCCCGCAAGGAAGAAGAACGAGUCCAUGAAGAAGACAAACGGACGUAGUCGAACGAAUCCUCACAACUCCGGAACGAAACCGAAGCUAACGAGAGAAGCCAACCGGAAAGAAACAAACAACAUAGUAAACAACCACCACAUACACAUGGCAAGAUGCGCAAACAAGUAUGAUGCAUGUCCGAUUUAAUGAGGCAUGGCAUGGCAAAGUGCACAAACACUACUACAAGUUAAGUGGAGCACAAUAUGCAACGAGUUGCAUAUUGACAAAACACCACAUCAAUUAUUUAGUUCUCUCCCGUUUAUGUACCCAACAAUAUUAAAUGUUGAUUAACAUGGCAAGAGGGUGAAGCAUAAAUAAACUAACUAUUUAGGCAAGUUUAAAAGAGACCGGAACAACAAACAACAAUUCCGGAAAAUCCCCAUAAGCAUAUUUUUGAUUUGGUACUGUUCGGCCCUAAACACAAUUUUAAUGUUGUUAAACAGCAAAAUAAAGUGCACCAUGUUAAACUAGGCAUUUUUCUACCCCAUUUACAUAUAAAGUUUAUUAAAUUCCGAGUUAUGGUUAAUUAGUUAUGGAAUAAAUCAUUUUAACAUGGCAUUCGAGCAAAUUUAAACAAACAGCAUUUUAAACAUUUUAAACAUGGAUGAGAGUGGCAUAUUAUGAAACUAGAUGAAAUUCUAGACAUUUUCAUAUAAGAAGUAUUUUAAUCUGAUGCACGGUUUAUGAGAUAUUAUAUGCAUGAACAUGAGGGGCUUUUCUGUAAAACUGUAAUACUCUGGAUAAUGGACAAAAUCGCAGAUCUGGGAAAAAAACUACACGGGCCGAAACUGGCUGGGCCAGCGGUGUACAGGAGAGUGGCUGGAGGGGGCUGCUCACCCAUGGGCCUGAGGAGGCGCUGGGCAGCUGGGCUGCGCGUGAAACAGAGGAGGUGGGGUCGUGCUCGAUGCAGAGUCAACGCAGGCGCGGCAUUGUCCUAUCGCUCGAAGCAGAGGAAGCAAGGGUCAGCGGCGGCUGUCUUGCUGGGCUUCGGGUGCGGGGAAUGAAGGCAGGCGCGCGCGGCGGCCGUGCAUAGGCUGUGGUGGCGCUGGAGGUGGCCGGAGGAAGUGGACCCCGGCGGCGAGGUCCUCGGGGCCCAUAGGAGCUCUUGGCGCGAAUCCAUGGCGGCGCUGGACGCGGGUGACGGGGCGCAAGGGUCCAGGAACAAAGUGAGGAGGCGAGGGGCGGCCAUGGUGUUCGACGGCUGCGUCCGGUUCCUGCGAGAGAGAGAACGAGAGGUAAUAGAGAGAUGUGAGGCACGGGAAGAAGAAGAAAGAAAGAGAAAGGGCAGGGGUGCGAGGUCGAGGGGAACCGAUUCCCGACGGUGGGAGGCGGAUCCAGCGAGGCCGGGGCCGUGGGAGUCGGGGAUGAACCGAUCUGUGCGGCGUCGGCGGCGGAAGUCCAUGGGCGGCGGCGGCUGCUGCUCCCUGGUGCAGCACAAGAGAGAGAGGGAGGGAGAUGAGCACGGGCAGCAGGUGAAGGAAAGAAGAAGGAACGGGAGGGAGGAGGCGUGAGGUGAGGCAGGGGAGUGGGACGGCCUGCUGGAGGUGGCGCCUGCUCGCCGGAGACGCGGGAACUGCUGCUGCUUGCAGAGGGUGCUCGGGGCAGGGACUUGAGGACGCGCGAGGAGACGAGGUCGAGCGCUCCUGCUCGGGGUCGCCGGAGGGCGCGGCCUGCAGGGUCGGCGAGGCUCGGGCGCGAGGGCUCCUGCUCCGCUGCUGCGGGCACGGGGACGAGGAGGUAGGCGCUGGUUGGAGGGAGUGGGAGGAGCUGCUGCGGGCUUCGGUGGUUUGUGGAGGGGAUCGAUGGAGAUUGACCGAUGGCUGAAAACGAGGAGAGGCUGUGGAUUUGGAUCGGGAGGAUCCCGAGGGGGAUUUGGUGAGUGGGGCUAGUGGCGGCGGCGCGACGGGACAAGGGGGGAUUUUUAGGGUUUGCCAAAAUGGACUAGGGGUGGACGAAUAUAUAUACAUCACGGAUUAGGUUAGGGGCUAAUCGGACCCUCCGAUUAAAGUCAAACGGUCGAGAUAAAUAGGUUGGGGAGUCCAACAAAGAAAACGGAGAUAUUUUCUAGAUGUUUGGGGAUGAUCCGAAUCCAACGGUGACAACAACCCGGGUCGGGUUCGGGUAAGUUUCAGACGCGCACGCGAGGGGUCUAUGCACUAUGUAGAGAGAUAAGGCGAACAAAGAAAAGGGAAACGAGAACCCGGUUGGUCUCGAAACGGUCAACAAAGGCAGGGGACGCGGCAAGUACGAACGACUACGACUUUUAUGAAAACAUGCGGAUGCAAUGCUCAUGAUGACAUGAUGAAUGCAACAAACAAAUAAAACACACAACGACAACGAAAAAAUAUGUAAGGGGACUGAAGCGUCGGUCUUGGGGCGUUACAACACUCCACCACUACAAGAGGAUCUCGUCCCGAGAUCUAGGAUGGCACCGGAGAAAAGCGGAAGAGGAAGAGAACAGGUAAAACUAAGUUGCUUCUUCGACAAACGAGUGAAACCACGAACCUUGAGAGGUUGGACAACUUGAAAGAAAGAAUACAACGGAGACAAACAAGAUUGCAAACACUCUGUUGGCAAAGAGGAACAUGGAACAUCACGAGAACCUUGUAGGUUGAAAGACAAGAAUGGAAAAAUCAAUGAACGAGAAUUACUUCGAAACCACUCCGGUUUAAACGAAAUAGAGAAGGAAUGAGAGCGAAAAGAAUUCAGCCAGCACUCCGGUAGAAAAGAGAAGGAAAACUUGAUAAGAUCAAGAGAACUUGAAAGAUAUCACAACACCCCGGUUAAAUGGAUAAGCAAGGAAAGAAGAUGAUCUUGACAAAACAAGAAGUGUGGUCGAACAGAGCGAUAUCACAAUGCCUCCGGAAGAAGAAAUAGAAGAUAGAUCACUGGAAUAAAGGAAUGGAGAAGAAAAUGCCAACUUCUACCACAAAUUAUCUUGGAAAGCACCCUUCCAAGAAGGUUAGAAUGGAGUUGUUGGAAAAUCAACAGCGAAAGGAUAAGCUUGUAGUGGGCUUAUGAAAAAGACCUCAAAAUUUGAGUUGCAAUUCUGCCACUAACGAAAACAAAUAAUAUAAUUGAUAACACCAAUGAGAUGAAAACUUCUUUCACCAAGAGGAUAGGAGAAAACUUGGAUCAUUGAUAAGCACCAUAAUAGCAACAUUCCUUAGGGACGGCUUUAGGUGAAAUAUGACACAAGAUAACUCCAACAAAGAGAUUGAUGGAUCUAAAAUAUCUCAUCCCUGACAACAUGUGAAACGCGAAACAUGAAGAAAAUUAUCAAGAUUGACAUAACACCACCUCAAAUGAUAAGGUAGAACGAAUUGCACUUUAGAAUGCAAGAUGAAGAAUGCUUGGACUCCACAAAACAAAACAUGUGUUGAACACCAUGUUUAUUUUAGAGUAUAGCUUGGUGGAUCUUAACUCCGAGAGAAUUCUUGACGAACAAUUGAAGAAUGAAAAGAAUCCUUGAUGACGCACCAUGUAGAGCCUCCAUGAAGAACUCCGGUAAUAAAAGAAUGAUCAAACGAAAGGGAAAGUUGAAAAGAACUCCGGGAGAAGCCUUACAAUGAUUAGAUGAAGCUUUGAAAUGAUAUAAUUGAAAUAACUUGGAGCUCCGUAAAGAAAAGAUGAACAACUUGGAACCGAGAAUUUAAUAUCAUGAACGAACUCCGGAAGAAGGAAUUAAUCACUUGGAGGAAACAAGAAUAAGAAUUACAUUACGCGUAUCCUUCACCAAUUUAGAUUGAUGACAAGCAACGGAUUUGGCAUACUACUUAUUCUCGUAGAAAAGAUUAAGAUAGAUAUUGCGCAAACUUGGGAAGGUCUUCAACGAACCACCGGUAACAACGGAAGAGAAUUUGGAAAAGAACGAAUGAACUGAUACGAUAACAACGGAAGAGAAUUCCUGAAUGAACCACCGUAAGAAUUGAAAAUGAAAGUAGCAAAGGCACAAUUCACCGAGAAGAAUUGGAAAACGAAUGAAGAUACUUGAGAGAAUUUAGAUACAAGUGAAGGAAGAGAUCCCGAGCUGAUUAGAGAAUAAUUGAAUGAUACACCGGUAAGAUUUGGAGAACGAGAGUUGAAUGUUUAGAACGAAUAAAUCUUCUGAAAUGAUGGCCUUCGGAGAAUCAAACUGAAAAGACUCAUGAAUUGCUCCGGAUGGGUGAAAAGAAUUCUCACAAUCAAAAAAACAAUUAUGAGAGGAUGGCAUCAAGCUUGAACCAUGAAUCUUUGGAAGAAUGGGUAAGGAUUUGGAGGAAAAACUCUUCUUCGGUCUUCAAAAUCCGAGAAUGACGACGAGAAACCACCACCUUGAGUUGUUGAGAUACUCCGGGAUGAAAAUUAGAAAGAUUGAACCGAAAAUAAAAAGAAUUUGAAAGAUCUUGGAGAAAGACAUUUGACUGAUGAUAAUUCAUUCUUACGUCAAACUUUGCAAUGAAUUUGAGAAUAACUCCGAAAAGAAUUAGAAGAGUCAGGUAAGAUCCUGGGAAAAGACAUGUGGGUUAGGGCCCACUCAAAAGAUACACCGUUGAAUGAUUAAAAGAAAGAUUGCGCCGGUUGAAUUAAAUGGCUCAAAAGAGAUAACAACCUCGAGAUAGCUUGAAUGGAUUGGGAAUGGAAAUGUGAAUCUUCUGAGAUAUCUUGUACACUCCGGAACCAAUGAAAAUAGUGAGAGGUGAAUGAUUGAGAGGUGCACCGGUAUGAGAAAGCAUUGAAGCGAGGAAAGGAAUAUGAUCAACACUGAAAGCUUGAAUUGAAUCCACCGGAGAAGAAAUAACAACGAAGGAUGAUGAACUUGAAGCUUCGUUAGUAUCUUCUUGAGAAUCACCGGAUAAGAACAUUGACGGAAAACGUGGAGAGGCUUCCCAUCAAUAAAAAGGAUACAUGAUUGAGAAAUCUGAGUCCUUGAAGAAAAGGGUGGGAGGGCGGGAAAACAAAGGCAACUUGGGCAAAUGGAAUAAACACCGUUGAGAAAAAGCUUAGAAUUGAUCUUGCGAAUGUUGGAAUGAUCGGAUUUACUUGAAAAGAAGCACACCGGCUGGAAAUAGAAUUAAGAUGGCAAUCUCGAUGGUCAAGAAUGAUUAGUAUCCACAUAGGAAUAUGAGAACACCGCUUAGAAUAAGGUAUGGAACCAACACUUGUCACCGAAGCAACUCGAAUACCACAAAUUAAAAUAAAACAAAGGAUUGGCUCGCAGAAUAAGACGGAACAAACAUAUGAUAGAGAUUUCGUCUGAAGUUUUCGUGGUGGGGCCCACAGGGGCUCGAUCGUACAGCACCAUCAUGUACAAGGCAGUGCACAUGACAUACGAAGCGUCCCCGAGUCGGCAUAGCCAAGGACUCUUUAAGACACUAUGAGACCACUGUAAAACCAACCGGGGAAAGGCGGACCACUAGACGUCGAACCCCAAUCUCAUAUCAUGCAUCUGUCGGAAAGAUAUCCUAGGAGCUACUUGAAUUCCCACUUAUAAACUCCCGAAACUUUCUGGUUAUGCAAUCAGGUGUUGGGGAUACAGGGGACACAAUAUAUCUCACCGAAACUAACAAUCCCUAGAUCCAGAUGUAUCCAUCCGUCAACACAUAACCAAGAAAACUUCGGAAAUCGUUUACCUCAACCUUCGAAAAGCAUCCGUUAUACGAGUUAUGGCAAUACUCCCGAACUCCCGCCCCAGUACUGGGUGGCGUCGAGGUGAUCUCACCAACAACUGUAUAAAAGAGAUUUUCAAUGUCGGCGAAACUCAGGUAUUCCAGAACUGCAACGAUAAAAUUGUGACGACAACACCUCGGAGCUCAACUCCCCGGGACACUGCCACAACCCCUAAAUGUCAGGAGGCACCAAGAACAAUGUUCUCGUCACAAAACCAUCGGAACGAUUCCAAGAUACCCGCGUGAUCCUAAAAAAAAUUUAGUGAAAUUUCAAGAGAGAAAAGUCAAAACUUCUACGUCAGGAGACCUCACCAGAGCGACGAAGGGACUAAGGAGUAAAAAGAAUCCUACUCUCCGAUAUAUAUAAUCCUAAGACUCAAAACAUUUUUGUUCUAGACUCAAUAACGUCAGCGAUUCGAUCAAGCAGGGGGCUCCUAAGUCGGGGAUGGCUCUGAUUACCAACUUGUAACACCCAUGAUGCGGCUAUAUCUCCCACGUGUCGAGGCACGACUUAGAGGCAUAAACGCACUGUGGUUUUGUCACACGAAGGGUCAUCUUCACACAAUCCCAUGUAAUGAACAAGAAUGGGAUAAAGAGUUGGCUUACAAUCGCCACUUCACACAAUACAUAAAUAAAUCAUACAUCAAUCAGAGUACACACAUAGGUCCGACUACGGAACCAAAAUAAAAGAAGACAACCCCAAAUGCUAGAUCCCCGAUCGUCCCAACUGGGCUCCACUGCUGAUCAUCAGAAAACGAAACAUAGUAACGACCAAGGUCCUCGUCGAACUCCCACUUGAGUUCGGUAGCAUCACUUGCACUGGUAUCCUCGGCACCUGCAACUGUUUGGAAGAAUCUGUGAGUCACGAGGACUCAGCAAUCUCACACCCGCGAGAUCAAGACUAUUUAAGCUUAUGGGUAGGAGAAGGUAGUGAGGUGGAGCUACAGCAAGCACUAAGCCUAUAUGGUGGCUAACAUACGCAAAUAAGAGCGAGAAGAGAAGCAACGGAACGGUCGUGAAGCUAACAAUGAUCAAGAAGUGAUCCUGAACUCCUACUUACGUCAAACAUAACUCAAAAGCCGUGUUCACUUCCCGGACUCCGCCGAAAAGAGACCAUCACGGCUACACACGCGGUUGAUGUAUUUUAAUUAAGUCAAGUGUCAAGUUCUCUACAACCGGAUAUUAACAAAUUCCCAUCUUCCACAUAACCGCGGGCACGGAUCUCGAAAGUUUAUACCCUGCAGGGGUGUCACAACUUAGCCCAUUAUAAGCUCUCACGGUCAACGAAGGAUAUUCCUUCUCCCGGGAAGACCCGAUCAGUCUCGGAAUCCCGGUUUACAAGACAUUUCGGCAAUGGUAAAACAAGACCAGCAAAGCCGCCCGAUGUGUCGACAAUCCCGAUAGGAGUCGCACGUACCUCAUUCUCAGGACACACCGGAUGAACACUACGUACAACUAAACCAGCCCUCAAGUUUCCCCGAGGUGGCGCUGCAAGUGGCUUGUCAGGACCCCGAUUCUAAGUCACACCGAUCUAGCCUGUAACACCUCAUAUCACUUUGCGGCCUCACGCACGGUAUUUCCACGGGUGUCGCCUUACCAUGGCCCGGGACCGUUUGCGCCUUUUGGCUCACGUAUAUGAUAAUGUCGCUAGCAUCCAUAUGACGGAGAACCCGGGCCGACAUGACUAGUCGUGAACCCAAAGUGGCACUAACUUACGGGGACAGGCAUACAUGAAUCAACAUUGAGCAUGUCGGUCAGCAACGUGUGAAUCCGGGCUGUAGCACUGGGCUAACAGGACUCCGAGAACCCGGGCUGUAGCAGGCUAGGCAGGACUCCGGAUGUCAUCGCGUGACAUUUCCCCGAAGGGACAGACACAGGAACGAAGUGAAUCACAUGCCGGCCAGUCAGGUGUCCGGAGCUGUAGUGCUGGGCUAGCAGGACUCCGGUGAACCGGGCUGUAGCGGACUACUAUGGCUCAUGGAAGCACAAGACUACAUUUCCCCAUAAGAGAGGCUACCAAGGAUAAACAACUAGGUUGUCGGAUCCCACACAUACCAAGCAUUUCAAUCAUACACGCAAUAUGCUCGAUAUGUGUAAAUACAACAUGGCAUCACAACAUAACUCUACGACUCAAGUACUUAUUCAUUAGGCUCCGAGGAGCGAGAUAUUACAAACAUGGGUCUUAUGACCCAACAUUCAGAGCAUACAAGUCAAACACAUGCGGAAGCUUAACAUGUCUGAGUACAGACAUCUACAGAUGAAAAAGGCUGAGAAGCCUGACUAUCUACCAAAUCCUGCCGAGGGCACAAGAUCGUAGCUGAGGUAUCAAGCUAAACGUCGAAGUCCACACGGAACUACUAGCGAGACUGACAUCUCUCUGCAAAACAUAAAAUAAGCAAACGUGAGUACAAAUGUACCCAGCAAGACUUACAUCAGAACUAUCUACAUAUGCAUCGGUAUCAACAAAGGGGGUGGUGGAGUUUAACUGCAGCAAGCCAGCUUUGACUCGGUGGCUAUCCUAACUACGACUGCAAGUAACUCUUUUGAGGUGGCGCACACGAGUCCACAUAUUCACCAUAUCAAUACACCACUAUGGAUUCGCUCCUGUCUCCCUACGAGAACGCCAUCCAUAGCACUCACGCUUAUCUUGCGCAUUUUAGAGUAUCCACUUUCACUUGUCUAUGAACUGUUAUAGGCAACCCAGAAGUCCUUUACCGCGGACACGGCUAUUCGAAUAGAUCAUAUUAACCCUGCAGGGGUGUACUUCGUCACACACGCUCUCACCACUUACCGCUGAUUACACAGCAUGUACUCGGCAACCUUCAAGCGGAAGCCCAGCGAGGGUGUCGGCCACGGCCUACCUAAACACUCAAGUCUCUAGUCCAGGUUUAUCGCCUAUUCAGGUUCCAUCCGCAGGGAGUCCGGCCGAGGUUUCCACAUACGGCCCCGAACGAUGUGUGCAGGGUUCCCGAGACACCAACUGGCGACUCGGGACACCGGGCCACGAGCCUACCGCAUCACAGCCCACCCCUCGGGUCAGCGCUGUCCAUGGCCUCCAGCUUACUACAAACACCAGAAACUACGUGCAACUCCUGGACAGAGGACAAGGAUGAUUAAGAAGCCGAGAGGGUCCAUUGGUUUCGGGCCCAAUGCGUGGUAGUAACUGUAUCAUGGAUCACAAACACAGAACUCAGUUCCUAAGGACGGCUUCAAUGAGACAACCUACCAUGUACUCCUACAUGGCCUCUCACCGCUACCUUUACCAAAUCGUGUUCACACACUUAGCGCACACACAGUAGGACAUGUUCACACAACUCCAAUUCAUCCCCGAUGAAUCAGACCUGACACAACUCUAAGCAAUAGCAGGCAUGACAAACAAGCAUGAAUGAGUAGGCACAUCAAGGCUCAAACAACUCCUACUCAUGUUAGUGGGUUUCAUCUAUUUACUGUGGCAAUGACAGGUCAUGUAGAGGAUAAGGGGUUCAACUACCGCAGCAAGUAACAGAUGAGUCGUUGUUGUCCUAAUGCAGUAAAGAGAGCAGGAGCGAGAGAGUGGGAUUGUAUCAGAAUGAACAAGGGGGUUUGCUUGCCUGGCACUUCUGAAGAUAUUAUAGUUCUUCAUCGGUGUCAUUGAACUCAUCAUCGGAAUCACGGCUAUCGAGAGGGGACAAUUACCGGCAACAGAGAGGAAACACAAUCAAUGCAAUGCAACAAUAUGAUGCAUGGUCGUGACAUGUCAAGAAUGUUAUGAUUUACAUUAAUGCAUCUAACAACAGUUUAAAUGAAGUCCAUAUGAACUAAGGGUUCAUAUGCAAACUCCACAUUUAGCAUUUAAAAUGUCAUGAUCAUGUUUUCACCUAUACAGCAGGUAUAACUUAGUUUGACAUGCAUGAAAGUGAUACAGAUGGAUAGAUUGCAUUUUUCUGAUAAUUUUUCAUAUAUAAUUUGUUUCAUUUGGAGUUACGGAUUAAUUUCUAUGAAUUUUAGAAGUUUUGGGCAUUUUCUGGAUUUCCUGUAUAAAAAUAAUUCCAGUAAUUAAAUUAGUGCGUCAGGGUGACGUCAGCUGUUCAGCGGGGUCGUCUAGGUCAAACCUGACGUGUGGGGUCCACACGUCAGUGUCACUGUUAGUAAACUAACUAAUUAAGAAUUAAUUAAAAGUUAAUCCAGGUUAAUUAGCAGGCGGGCCCCACUUGUCAUUGACUCAGGGGAGGGGGUCAGCCUGGGUCAAACGGGGUCAACUCGCCGGUGUAUAGCCGCCGGCGAGCCAGACGCGGCGACGAGCCACGGGUUUGCCCUACGGGGCGCCGUUUGGCGCGCGGAGCACAGCUACGGGAUGCGGACGCUCGUCUGCAUCCAACCGUGGGGGUAGCGCGGCCGGGGAGUGGCCGGAGUGGCGCCGGUGACGAGCUCGGCGGCGGGGCGUGCGGGUGAGCUACGUGCAGUUGCUAUGGAGCUCGAGAGCGAGAACGAGAAGGGGGAGAAGGUAGCGGAGCUCACUGCGGUCACGUAGAAGUAAACGGCGUGGUCAGGGACGGUCAGACGACGUCGGGAGGUCGCCGGCGAUCUCGGAGCAAAGGCGGCGAAGUCGAGGGUGCAGGGGGCGAUGCAGGCCGUUCGGCGUUGCCUGACUCGGCUGAGAGGACGAGGGCGUCGAGACGGAGCUGCUGGACAGCACGGGAAGGCAAGGGGAGCACGGUGGCUGCGGUGGUGGCGAGCGGCGGCGACGAACCCGUUCGGGUGGGUGAGAGAGAGAGGUCCAGGGGAGGGAAUGAGCACGGGGGAGAGCGGGAGGGGUCGAGGGGAGCGCGUGGCGUCUCCGGGGACGUCCAAGGAGAAGCGGCAAGCAGGAGGUGGCCGGGGCGCGUGGGCGCGCACGGCGGCCACACGCCUCUCGUCCUACUGGCGAGAGGUGGGAGAUGACUGGCAGCGGCGCUGGGCUGGGCCGGCCAGGUGGGCAGGCCAGCUGGGCUGCGACAGGUGAGGCCAGGUAGGUUUCCUUUCUCUCUCUUUUUUUUAUUUGUUUCUGUUUUCUAAUAUUCUGUAGUCUUUAGGGCUUUAUUAAAAAUACUUAGACACUUGCAAAAAUCAUGAAACUACUCAUGAUCACUGUUGGGAAUAUAUCCUACAGUAAACAUUUUAGUUUAUGAUUAUUUGAGCAUUUAAAAUAUUUAAUAUCAUUUAAAUGCCCAAAUGCAAAUAGAGUAUGAUUUAAUCCAGAGCCCAAAUAUGUCAUGGAAAAAUGUGCAUCACCUCUGGUUACUAUUUCCAGCAUUUUCCGAUAAUGAUGAACAUUUUUUAAAGCCAUUUGGAUUUACUGGAAAUAUUUUGGUUGAACCUAGUGAAUUCCUUUAAUGCUAGGGUUUAGGCAAUCCCCAUUUCAAGUUUCUUUCAAAGUUUAAACAUGAUGCACACAUGAAGUUAGCCUAGAGCAAACCAGAACUAGGGAUGUGACAACUCACCCCCACUAAACAAGAAUCUCGUCCCAAGAUUCAAGCGUAGGGUAAGAGGAAGAGGGGACACAAAACCUAACACAAUCUUCUCGAUCCAAUUGCCCUCAUCGAAGAUGUUGAUUCAUUGCUUCAAAUUGAUCUUGUCGUCUUUGCUUUCGGGAUCUUCAUCCAACAUGAUGACGACAGAAGAAACUCUAUAGGAAUCGAUCUUCUUAAAGAUCGAGCAACUCACGAUCAACUCACGGAAUGAGAUGUUGAAACAUCUCGAGUUGAGACGCAAAACACAUUGAGAGGGAUGGAAGAACAAACGAUGAGGUUUGAUUUGGUGGGCAACAGCUCCACGCUUAGAUAAUAUGGUACAUGGGUUCCAAAGCAGCGAGGAGUUAAUUGCCAUGACUCCAUAACGGGGCACCUUAGGAAAGGUGACUCGUAGAAUUCUUCCCUUAAGUGGCAAAAAGAAUUACUUUUGAUACAAAGAUCAUUAAAACUCUUUAUACCAGCCUAAGGCAAUCACAAUCGAUCGUUUGGCGGAGUCCAAAGGAAUGGCAUAUCCGGAUUAAAAUGGAUGAUGUGGACUACCUUGUUGAAGACAACGUAAGGAAUGAUUUUUGCUUAUCGUCAGAAAUGGAUGGGACCCAUGGUAGGACCACUUUUAAAGAAGAUCCUGAGCAGCAAUGGCUGAGAAGGGCAGCCCAUGGGAAAUUGGCACAAGGCGGUGCAAGCUAGGAACAAAAUGCAAAUGUCGGGAAUGUUCCAACCAUCAUAUCUGCCUGAGAUUCAGAUCUGGUUGGUGUCCGGAUAUUCCAGACUCAUCAAGUCUAGAAAUAAAAAUGAAAGUUUGCAACACAAAUCGACAAGAUGACGUUGCGAGAUUCUCGGGGAGUGAACUACAAUAGCAAGCUCCAAAAUAUGAGCUGGUUCUGCUACAUACAUGUGAACAUGUUGUCCAAGACAAGAAUGACCACAUAGUAGUCUUAUGAUAAAACACUACCGAGUUCAGGUGGGGAACCAUCAUCUAGGGUAACGAAGUCUUGUGCAUGAACUAGGAUUUGAACAACAACUCCUUUUCCUUGAACAAAUCAAUCAGUGGCUUGGUGUGCUAGGAACACAUAUAGAACGAAGGUUGCAAGUCUCCGAACCACAGAAUACUUCGCACGUAUGCAUGACCGAUUUUGGGAUGAUUCCAAAAGAAGCAACAUUGACUUUCUCAAAUCCACGACGGCAACUUGCAUCAGAUGCACGUGAAAUAGAGGAAGUCACUACUUUCAUCCAAACAUAUGCUUCAUGAACGGAACACGAAGAUAAUGCUUAUAAAGUUUCCAAUACUAGCUGGAUGUUCAACACGAGUCAUGGAGAAGGUAGCAGUGUUGCUGAUGGGCUCAACAACAAUUCAUCCAGGUUUCCAUGGAGAUGGAAUUCCAUAAUUAUGUGAACAAGUGAUAGCAUUGGUCAGACCCAAAAGAUAUAAUGGUGUAUGCUCGAGGGAUCAACCACGAGUAAGACAACAUUAUGAACAUCGUUGGUUCUGAUUUGAUUUGAUGAUAGCCCAUACUCAAAUCAAAGUCUUGAUGCGACAAUAGGUCCAACAACUGAUCACAGGGACCAAUCGAUGAAGAUAUCAUCUAUCUUCAACACACGCACACACACACCAAGAUAUCCCUUAAUGAUGAACUAAGUCAGACAAAGCUUUUAUCUUCCAACUCUCCAAGUUGUUGUUUAGCUCAACCAACUAGCUCAGGGGUAUCCAACACAGAUUCAUGGAGAAGGGGUGGUUUAUAGGAAACCAACUUGAUCACGAGCUCAACAUAACGGUCAGGGAGCAACCCGGUGAUACUUCCGAGAAGAUAUUCAGGAAAUCACCAACCACCGAUAUGUUACUAGGCUCGAGAACAAUCUCGCCUUUCAGAGCAAGACAAUAUGAUCAAAUAAGCAAGGGAUUGAAUAAUCCUAACUCAUUGAUCGAAGAGUGCACCGGAAAUAAGGACUAGGUAGCACGAUCAACCUUAGGAUGUGAUUCAGUAACCAACACGCUAAGGAUGAAAUUAUUGUCCUUUAACUACCAAGCAACGGAGUUGCUAGGAGUAUUGAUUUCACGCAUCACGAUUCACUUGUCGGUGUUCCGGUUACAAUAACACGGGACCGAGAAAUGAAUGAUGAUGGCGAGGAGUAUCACUGCGUCAAGAAUUCACAAAAGGUGGUGCAAUUCCUACGAUAUUCUCGACAUAAAGGGGGUAAUACUUGAAGGUAGAACAGAACAAAAGCUGGUUAGGCAUUUGAUCUGCGGAAUACAACUACUUUGACCCAAUCCCAAAGAUGGACGAGGUACUGGAGUUUGUUUCUCCUAGUCAUUCCGGAUUAGAAUGGCUUGACAGACCACAAGAAUAAUAGGCAUUGAUAACACAAAUGCACAAUUACUCCUGACUAUCAAUUGAUAGACGAGGGCCGGAAAAAUUACUAAAGAGGGACAACCCAAAGGAACAUAUGUUUUUCUGAGUUGUGGAUGCAUGGAUUAGUAUAUCGAGCAAAUUCAACAUAUUUCUUCCGGAUAACCCAUGCAGAGGAGGAAGGACUGGCAGAGUCACAAUAUGAAUGGAGUACUCCUCAAGAGCGCCCUGGUUGUGAUUUUUUGGUUAAAAGAACUUCUGCCAUAAUGGUUCAUGGUAUUUGGAAGAAGGAAAUACCACGGACCUCGAGGACUGUCGCAAGGUUACUAAUAUCCUAAAGGAACGAGCAAACACUAUCAACAGGAGGUAAGUGGAGUGAAUCUUGGUCUCAAGAACCCAGAAAUAGAAUGCCUACUAACUAAAUGGCAUCACGGGAUGCUUUCGAGAGUAAUGGCCAGAAUCAUCACACUAGGGAUGCAAGCAUUGCUAGAUUACUAAGUGGUCCUCUAAGACACCUAGGGUCAUAAUAAUAACUCCAACAUAUAUGUCAAGGCAACAGAGUACCUCAACUCAACGAUUAGUGUGGUUAAUCUGGCCCAAAGGAACAUCGAGAACAGAAAGAAGGGAUUUGCAAAUGCAUCAGAUUUUUUAGAAGCCUGGGAUGACUCGGACAGCAUAACGGCUGUAAAUGCUCAAAGGAUUUGAGACAUCCUGCAAAAAUGGUGGCAUAACCACUUAGAAGCACAAUAUCAAGGUUCCGAGACCAACUAUGAACACACGGAAGUAGAAGAAACUGAACUGGGGCUUAAAUCCAACAAUCCUACAAGUCUACAGAUUAGUAACACGUGAUCCUGAUAGAAAGAUUAGAAGCCUAGUUCUUAAUCCCCGUAGAAGAGAAGAGGGUGACUCAGAUCAGAAGGGCAUAAGGUAAAGGAGUAAAAAAAGCCUUACAUUCCCUUCCACAAUCAAUUCCCUUAUAUAACUAAAGCAUUUCUAGACUCAACUUUGACUAGUUUGGCUUGGUAAUCCUACAGGCAGUCAGGCUCUGAUACCAACGCUGUCAGGACCCCGAUUCUAAGUCACACCGAUCUACCCUGUAACACCUCAAAUCACUUUGCGGCCUCACGCACGGUAUUUCCACGGGUGUCGCCUUACCAUGGCCCGGGACCGUUUGCGCCUUUUGGCUCAUGUAUAUGAUAAUGUCGCUAGCAUCCAUAUGACGGAGAACCCGGGCCGACAUGACUAGUCAUGAACCCAAAGUGGCACUAACUUACGGGGACAGGCAUACAUGAAUCAACAUCGAGCAUGUCGGUCAGCAACGUGUGAAUCCGGGCUGUAGCACUGGGCUAACAGGACUCCGGGAACCAGGGCUGUAGCAGGCUAGGCAGGACUCCGGAUGUCAUCGCGUGACAUUUCCCCGAAGGGACAGACACAGGAACAAAGUGAAUCACAUGCCGGCCAGUCAAGUGUCCGGAGCAGUAGUGCUGGGCUAGCAAGACUCCGGUGAACCGGGCUGUAGCGGACUACUAUGGCUCAUGGAAGCACAAGACUACGUUUCCCCAUAAGAGAGGCUACCAAGGAUAAACAACUAGGUUGUCGGAUCCCACACAUACCAAGCAUUUCAAUCAUACACGCAAUAUGCUCGAUAUGUGUAAAUACAACAUGGCAUCACAACAUAACUCUACGACUCAAGUACUUAUUCAUUAGGCUCCGAGGAGCGAGAUAUUACAAACAUGGGUCUUAUGACCCAACAUUCAGAGCAUACAAGUCGAACACAUGCGGAAGCUUAACAUGUCUGAGUACAGACAUCUACAAAUGAAAAAGGCUGAGAAGCCUGACUAUCUACCAGAUCCUGCCGAGGGCACAAGAUCGUAGCUAAGGUAUCAAGCUAAACGUCGAAGUCCACACGGAACUACUAGCGAGACUGACGUCUCUCUGCAAAACAUAAAAUAAGCAAACGUGAGUACAAAUGUACCCAGCAAGACUUACAUCAGAACUAUCUACAUAUGCAUCGGUAUCAACAAAGGGGGUGGUGGAGUUUAACUGCAGCAAGCCAGCUUUGACUCGGUGGCUAUCCUAACUACGACUGCAAGUAACUCUUUUGAGGUGGCGCACACGAGUCCACAUAUUCACCAUAUCAAUACACCACUAUGGAUUCGCUCCCGUCUCCCUAUGAGAACGCCAUCCAUAGCACUCACGCUUAUCUUGUGCAUUUUAGAGUAUCCACUUUCACUUGUCAAUGAACUGUUAUAGGCAACCCAGAAGUCCUUUAUCGCGGACACGGCUAUUCGAAUAGAUCAUAUUAACCCUGCAGGGGUGUACUUCGUCACACACGCUCUCACCACUUACCGCCGAUUACACAGCAUGUACUCGGCAACCUUCAAGCGGAAGCCCAGCGAGGGUGUUGGCCACGGCCUACCUAAACACUCAAGUCUCUAGUCCAGGUUUAUCGCCUAUUCAGGUUCCAUCCGCAAGGAGUCCGGCCGAGGUUUCCACAUACGGCCCCGAACGAUGUGUGCAGGGUUCCCGAGACACCAAACGGGCGACUCGGGACACCGGGCCACGAGCCUACCGCAUCACAGCCCACCCCUCGGGUCAGCGCGGUCCACGGCCUCCAGCUUACUACAAACACCAGAAACUACGUGCAACUCCUGGACAGAGGACAAGGGUGAUUAAGACGCUGAGAGGGUCCAUUGGUUUCGGGCCCAAUGCGUGGUAGUAACUGUAUCAUGGAUCACAAACACAGAAAUCAAUUCCUGAGGAGGGCUUCAAUGAGACAACCCACCAUGUACUCCUACAUGGCCUCUCACCGCUACCUUUACCAAAUCGUGUUCACACACUUAGCUCACACACAGUAGGACAUGUUCACACAACUCCAAUUCAUCCCUGAUGAAUCAGACCUGACACAACUCUAAGCAAUAGCAGGCAUGACAAACAAGCAUGAAUGAGUAGGCACAUCAGGGCUUAAACAACUCCUACUCAUGCUAGUGGGUUUCAUCUAUUUACUGUGGAAAUGACAGGUCAUGCAGAGGAUAAGGGGUUCAACUACCGCAGCAAGUAACAGAUGAGUCGUUGUUGUCCUAAUGCAGUAAAGAGAGCAGGAGCGAGAGAGUGGGAUUGUAUCGGAAUGAACAAGGGGGUUUGCUUGCCUGGCACUUCUGAAUAUAUUAUAGUUCUUCAUCGAUGUCAUCGAACUCAUCGUCAGAAUCACGGCUAUCGAGAGGGGACAAUUACCGGCAACAGAGAGGAAACACAAUCAAUGCAAUGCAACAAUAUGAUGCAUGGUCGUGACAUGUCAAGAAUGUUAUGAUUUACAUUAAUGCAUCUAACAACAGUUUAAAUGAAGUCCAUAUGAACUAAGGGUUCAUAUGCAAACUCCACAUUUAGCAUUUAAAAUGUCAUUAUCAUGUUUUCACCUAUACAGCAGGUACAACUUAGCUUGACAUGCAUGAAAGUGAUACAGAUGGAUAGAUUGCAUUUUUCUGAUAAUUUUUCAUAUAUAAUUUGUUUCAUUUGGAGUUACGGAUUAAUUUCUAUGAAUUUUAGAAGUUUUGGGCAUUUUCUGGAAUUUCCUGUAUAAAGAUAAUUCCAGUAAUUAAAUUAAUGCGUCAGCAUUGCGUCAGGGUGACGUCAGCUGGUCAGCGGGGUCGUCUAGGUCAAACCUGACGUGUGGGGUCCACACGUCAGUGUCACUGUUAGUAAACUAACUAAUUUAGAAUUAAUUAAAAGUUAAUCCAGGUUAAUUAGCAGGCGGGCCCCACUUGUCAUUGACUCAGGGGAGGGGGUCAGCCUGGGUCAAACGGGGUCAAGUCGCCGGCGUUUAGCCGCCGGCGAGGCCAGACGCGGCGGCGAGCCACGGGUUUGCCCUACGGGGCGCCGUUUGGCGCGCGGAGCACAGCUACGGGAUGCGGACGCUCGUCCGCAUCCAACCGUGGGGGUGGCGCGGCCGGGGAGUGGCCGGAGUGGCGCCGGCGACGAGCUCGGCGGCGGCGCGUGCGGGUGAGCUACGUGCAGUUGCUACGGAGCUCGAGAGCGAGAACGAGAAGGGGGAGAAGGUAGCGGAGCUCACUGCGGUCACGUAGAAGCAAACGGCGCGGUCGGGGACGGGCUGACGAUGUCGGGAGGUCGCCGACGAUCUCGGAGCAGAGGCGACGAAGUCGAGGGUGCAGGGGGCGAUGCAGGCCGUUCGGCGUUGCCUGACUCGGCUGAGAGGACGAGGGCGUCGAGACGGAGCUGCUGGACAGCACGGGAAGGCGAGGGGAGCACGGUGGCUGCGGUGGUGGCGAGCGGCGGCGACGAACCCGUUCGGGUGGGUGAGAGAGAGAGGUCCAGGGGAGGGAAUGAGCACGGGGGAGAGCGGGAGGGGUCGAGGGGAGCGCGUGGCGUCUCCGGGGACGUCCAGGGAGAAGCGGCAAGCAGGAGGUGGCCGGGGCGCGUGGGCGCGCACGGCGGCCACACGCCUCUCGUCCUACUGGCGAGAGGUGGGAGAUGACUGGCAGCGGCGCUGGGCUGGGCCGGCCAGGUGGGCUGGCCAGCUGGGCUGCGACAGGUAAGGCCAGGUAGGUUUCCUUUCUCUCUCUUUUUUUAUUUGUUUCUGUUUUCUAAUAUUCUAUAGUCUUUAGGGCUUUAUUAAAAAUACUUAGACACUUGCAAAAAUCAUGAAACUACUCAUGAUCACUGUUGGGAAUAUAUCCUACAGUAAACAUUUUAGUUUAUGAUUAUUUGAGCAUUUAAAAUAUUUAAUAGCAUUUAAAUGCCCAAAUGCAAAUAGAGUAUGAUUUAAUCCAGAGCCCAAAUAUGUCAUGGAAAAAUGUGCAUCACCUCUGGUUACUGUUUCCAGCAUUUUUCGAGAAUGAUGAACAUUUUUGAAAGCCAUUUGGAUUUACUGGAAAUAUUUUGGUUGAACCUAGUGAAUUCCUUUAAUGCUAGGGUUUAGGCAAUCCCCAUUUCAAGUUUCUUUCAAAGUUUAAACAUGAUGCACACAUGAAGUUAGCCUAGAGCAAACCAGAACUAGGGAUGUGACAACUCACCCCCACUAAACAAGAAUCUCGUCCCGAGAUUCAAGCGUAGGGUAAGAGGAAGACGGGACACAAAAGCUAACACAAUCUUCUCGAUCCAAUUGCCCUCAUCGAAGAUGUUGAUUCAUUGCUUCAAAUUGGUCUUGUCGUCUUUGCUUUCGGGAUCUUCAUCCAACAUGAUGACGACAGAAGAAACUCUAUAGGAAUCGAUCUUCUUAAAGAUCGAGCAACUCACGAUCAACUCACGGAAUGAGAUGUUGAAACAUCUCGAGUUGAGACGCAAAACACAUUGAGAGGGAUGGAAGAACAAACGAUGAGGUUUGAUUUGGUGGGCAACAACCCCACGCUUAGAUAAUAUGGUACAUGGGUUCCAAAGCAGCGAGGAGUUAAUUGCCAUGACUCCAUAACGGGGCACCUUAGGAAAGGUGACUCGUAGAAUUCUUCCCUUAAGUGGCAAAAAGAAUUACUUUUGAUACAAAGAUCAUUGAAACUCUUUAUACCAGCCUAAGGCAAUCACAAUCGAUCGUUUGGCGGAGUCCAAAGGAAUGGCAUAUCCGGAUUAAAAUGGAUGAUGUGGACUACCUUGUUGAAGACAACGUAAGGAAUGAUUUUUGCUUAUCGUCAGAAAUGGAUGGGACCCAUGGUAGGACCACUUUUAAAGAAGAUCCUGAGCAGCAAUGGCUGAGAAGGGCAGCCCAUGGGAAAUUGGCACAAGGCGGUGCAAGCUAGGAACAAAAUGCAAAUGUCGGGAAUGUUCCAACCAUCAUAUCUGCCUGAGAUUCAGAUCUGGUUGGUGUCCGGAUAUUCCAGACUCAUCAAGUCUAGAAAGAAAAAUGAAAGUUUGCAACACAAAUCGACGAGAUGACGUUGCGAGAUUCUCGGGGAGUGAACUACGAUAGCAAGCUCCAAAAUAUGAGCUGGUUCUGCUACAUACAUGUGAACAUGUUGUCCAAGACAAGAAUGACCACAUAGUAGUCUUAUGAUAAAACACUACCGAGUUCAGGUGGGGAACCAUCAUCUAGGGUAACGAAGUCUUGUGCAUGACCUAGGAUUUGCACAACAAGUCCUUUUCCUUGAACAAAUCGAUCAGUGCCUUGGUGUGCUAGGAGCACAUAUAGAACGAAGGUUGCAAGUCUCCGAACCACAGAAUACUUCGCACGUAUGCAUGACCGAUUUUGGGAUGAUUCCAAAAGAAGCAACAUUGACUUUCUCAAAUCCACGACGGCAACUUGCAUCAGAUGCACGUGAAUUAGAGGAAGUCACUACUUUCAUCCAAACAUAUGCUUCAUGAACGGAACAUGAAGAUAAUGCUUAUAAAGUUUCCAAUACUAGCUGGAUGUUCAACACGAGUCAUGGAGAAGGUAGCAGUGUUGCUGAUGGGCUCAACAACAAUUCAUCCAGGUUUCCAUGGAGAUGGAAUUCCAUAAUUAUGUGAACAAGUGAUAGCAUUGGUCAAACCCAAAAGAUAUAAUGGUGUAUGCUCGAGGGAUCAACCACGAGUAAGACAACAUUAUGAACAUCGUUGGUUCUGAUUUGAUUUGAUGAUAGCCCAUACUCAAAUCAAAGUCUUGAUGCGACAAUAGGUCCAACAACUGAUCACAGGGACCAAUCGAUGAAGAUAUCAUCUAUCUUCAACACACGCACACACACACCAAGAUAUCUCUUAAUGAUGAACUAAGUCAGACAAAGCUUUUAUCUUCCAACUCUCCAAGUUGUUGUUUAGCUCAACCAACUAGCUCAUGGGUAUCCAACACAGAUUCUUGGAGAAGGGGUGGUUUAUAGGAAACCAACUUGAUCACGAGCUCAACAUAACGGUCAAGGAGCAACCUGGUGAUACUUCCGAGAAGAUAUUCAGGAAAUCACGAACCACCGAUAUGUUACUAGGCUCGAGAACAAUCUCGCCUUUCAGAGCAAGACGAUAUGAUCAAAUAAGCAAGGGAUUGAAUAAUCCUAACUCAUUGAUCGAAGAGUGCACCGGAAAUAAGGACUAGGUAGCACGAUCAACCUUAGGAUGUGAUUCAGUAACCAACACGCUAAGGAUGAAAUUAUUGUCCUUUAACUACCAAGCAACGGAGUUGCUAGGAGUAUUGAUUUCACGCAUCACGAUUCACUUGUCGGUGUUCCGGUUACAAUAACACGGGACCGAGAAAUGAAUGAUGAUGGCGAGGAGUAUCACUGCGUCAAGAAUUCACAAAAGGUGGUGCAAUUCCUACGAUAUUCUCGACAUAAAGGGGGUAAUACUCGAAGGUAGAACAGAACAAAAGCUGGUUAGGCAUUUGAUCUGCGGAAUACAACUACUUUGACCCAAUCCCAAAGAUGGACGAGGUACUGGAGUUUGUUUCUCCUAGUCAUUCCGGAUUAGAAUGGCUUGACAGACCACAAGAAUAAUAGGCAUUGAUAACACAAAUGCACAAUUACUCCUGACUAUCAAUUGAUAGACGAGGGCCAGAAAAAUAACUAAAGAGGGACAACCCAAAGGAACAUAUGUUUUUCUGAGUUGUGGAUGCAUGGAUUAGUAUGUGGAGCAAAUUCAACAUAUUUCUUCCGGAUAACCCAUGCAGAGGAGGAAGGACUGGCAGAGUCACAAUAUGAAUGGAGUACUCCUCAAGAGCGCCCUGGUUGUGAUCUUUUGGUUAAAAGAACUUCUGCCAUAAUGGUUCAUGGUAUUUGGAAGAAGGAAAUAUCACAGACCUCGAGGACUGUCGCAAGGUUACUAAUAUCCUAAAGGAACGAGCAAACACUAUCAACAGGAGGUAAGUGGAGUGAAUCUUGGGCUCAAGAACCCAGAAAUAGAAUGCCUACUAACUAAAUGGCAUCACGGGAUGCUUUCAAGAGUAAUGGCCAGAAUCAUCACACUAGGGAUGCAAGCAUUGCUAGAUUACUAAGUGGUCCUCUAAGACACCUAGGGUCAUAAUAAUAACUCCAUCAUAUAUGUCAAGGCAACAGAGUACCUCAACUCAACGACUAGUGUGGUUAAUCUGGCCCAAAGGAACAUCGAGAACGGAAAGAAGGGAUUUGCAAAUGCAUCAGAUUAUUUAGAAGCCUGGGAUGACUCGGACAGUAUAACGGCUGUAAAUGCUCAAUGGAUUUGAGACAUCCUGCAAAAAUGGUGGCAUAACCACUUAGAAGCACAAUAUCAAGGUUCCGAGACCAACUAUGAACACACGGAAGUAGAAGAAACUGAACUGGGGCUUAAAUCCAACAAUCCUACAAGUCUACAGAUUAGUAACACGUGAUCCUGAUAGAAAGAUGCAAAGCCUAGUUCUUAAUCCCCGUAGAAGAGAAGAGGGUGACUCAGAUCAGAAGGGCAUAAGGUAAAGGAGUAAAAAGAGCCUUACAUUCCCUUCCACAAUCAAUUCCCUUAUAUAACUAAAGCAUUUCUAGACUCAACUUCGACUAGUUUGGCUUGGUAAUCCUACAGGCAGUCAGGCUCUGAUACCAACGCUGUCAGGACCCCGAUUCUAAGUCACACCGAUCUACCCUGUAACACCUCAUAUCACUUUGCGGCCUCACGCACGGUAUUUCCACGGGUGUCGUCUUACCAUGGCCCGGGACCGUUUGCGCCUUUUGGCUCACGUAUAUGAUAAUGUCACUAGCAUCCAUAUGACGGAGAACCCGGGCCGACAUGACUAGUCGUGAACCCAAAGUGGCACUAACUUACGGGGACAGGCAUACAUGAAUCAACAUCGAGCAUGUCGGUCAGCAACGUGUGAAUCCGGGAUGUAGCACUUGGCUAACAGGACUCCGGGAACCCGGGCUGUAGCAGGCUAGGUAGGACUCCGGAUGUCACCGCGUGACAUUUCCCCGAAGGGACAGACACAGGAACAAAGUGAAUCACAUGCCGGCCAGUCAGGUGUCCAGAGCAGUAGUGCUGGACUAACAGGACUCCGGUGAACCGGGCUGUAGCGGACUACUAUGGCUCAUGGAAGCACAAGACUACAUUUCCCCAUAAGAGAGGCUACCAAGGAUAAACAACUAGGUUGUCGGAUCCCACACAUACCAAGCAUUUCAAUCAUACACGCAAUAUGCUCGAUAUGUGUAAAUACAACAUGGCAUCACAACAUAACUCUACGACUCAAGUACUUAUUCAUUAGGCUCCGAGGAGCGAGAUAUUACAAACAUGGGUCUUAUGACCCAACAUUCAGAGCAUACAAGUCAAACACAUGCGGAAGCUUAACAUGUCUGAGUACAGACAUCUACAAAUGAAAAAGGCUGAGAAGCCUGACUAUCUACCAGAUCCUGCCGAGGGCACAAGAUCAUAGCUGAGGUAUCAAGCUAAACGUCGAAGUCCACACGGAACUACUAGCGAUACUGACGUGUCUCUGCAAAACAUAAAAUAAGAAAACGUGAGUACAAAUGUACCCAGCAAGACUUACAUCAGAACUAUCUACAUAUGCAUCGGUAUCAACAAAGGGGGUGGUGGUGUUUAACUGCAGCAAGCCAGCUUUGACUCGGUGGCUAUCCUAACUACGACUGCAAGUAACUCUUUUGAGGUGGCGCACACGAGUCCACAUAUUCACCAUAUCAAUACACCACUAUGGAUUCGCUCCCGUCUCCCUACGAGAACGCCAUCCAUAGCACUCACACUUAUCUUGCGUAUUUUAGAUUAUCCAAUUUCACUUGUCUAUGAACUAUUAUAGGCAACCCAGAAGACCUUUACCGCGGACAUGGCUAUUCGAAUAGAUCAUAUUAACCCUGCAGGGGUGUACUUCGUCACACACGCUCUCACCACGAACCGCCGAUUACACAGCAUGUACUCGGCAACCUUCAAGCGGAAGCCCAGCGAGGGUAUCGGCCACGGCCUACCUAAACACUCAAGUCUCUAGUCCAGGUUUAUCGCCUAUUCAGGUUUCAUCCGCAGGGAGUCCGGCCGAGGUUUCCACAUACGGCCCCGAACGAUGUGUGCAGGGUUCCCGAGACACCAAACGGGCGCCUCGGGACACCGGGCCAUGAGCCUACCGCAUCACAGCCCACCCCUCGGGUCAGCACUGUCCACGGCCUCCAGCUUACUACAAACACCAGAAACUACGUGCAACUCCUGGACAGAGGACAAGGGUGAUUAAGAAGCCGAGAGGGUCCAUUGGUUUCGGGCCCAAUGCGUGGUAGUAACUGUAUCAUGGAUCACAAACACAGAACUCAGUUCCUGAGGACGGCUUCAGUGAGACAACCCACCAUGUACUCCUACAUGGCCUCUCACCGCUACCUUUACCAAAUCGUGUUCACACACUUAGCUCACACACAAUAGGACAUGUUCACACAACUCCAAUUCAUCCCCGAUGAAUCAGACCUGACACAACUCUAAGCAAUAGCAGGCAUGACAAACAAGCAUGAAUGAGUAGGCACAUCAGGGCUCAAACAACUCCUACUCAUGCUAGUGGGUUUCAUUUAUUUACUGUGGCAAUGACAGGUCAUGCAGAGGAUAAGGGGUUCAACUACCGCAGCAAGUAACAGAUGAGUCGUUGUUGUCCUAAUGCAGUAAAGAGAGCAGGAGCGAGAGAGUGGGAUUGUAUCGGAAUGAACAAGGGGGUUUGCUUGCCUGGCACUUCUGAAGAUAUUAUAGUUCUUCAUCGAUGUCAUCGAACUCAUCGUCGGAAUCACGGCUAUCGAGAGGGGACAAUUACCGGCAACAGAGAGGAAACACAAUCAAUGCAAUGCUACAAUAUGAUGCAUGGUCGUGACAUGUCAAGAAUGUUAUGAUUUACAUUAAUGCAUCUAACAACAGUUUAAAUGAAGUCCAUAUGAACUAAGGGUUCAUAUGCAAACUCCACAUUUAGCAUUUAAAAUGUCAUUAUCAUGUUUUCACCUAUACAGCAGGUAUAACUUAGUUUGACAUGCAUGAAAGUGAUACAGAUGGAUAGAUUGCAUUUCCUGAUAAUUUUUCAUUUAUAAUUUGUUUCAUUUGGAGUUACGGAUUAAUUUCUAUGAAUUUUAGAAGUUUUGGGCAUUUUCUGGAAUUUCCUGUAUAAAAAUAAUUCCAGUAAUUAAAUUAAUGCGUCGGGGUGACGUCAGCUGGUCAGCAGGGUCGUCCAGGUUAAACCUGACGUGUGGGGUCCACAUGUCAGUGUCACUGUUAGUAAACUAACUAAUUUAGAAUUAAUUAAAAGUUAAUCCAGGUUAAUUAGCAGGCGGGCCCCACUUGUCAUUGACUCAGGGGAGGGGGUCAGCCUGGGUCAAACGGGGUCAACUCGCCGGCGUUUAGCCGCCGGCGAGGCCAGACGCGGCGACGAGCCAAGGGUUUGCCCUACGGGGCGCCGUUUGGCGCGCGGAGCACAGCUACGGGAUGCGGACGCUCGUCCGCAUCCAACCGUGGGGGUGGCGCGGCCGGGGAGUGGCCGGAGUGGCGCCGGCGACGAGCUCGGCGGCGGCGCGUGCGGGUGAGCUACGUGCAGUUGCUACGGAGCUCGAGAGCGAGAACGAGAAGGGGGAGAAGGUAGCGGAGCUCACUGCGGUCACGUAGAAGCAAACGGCGCGGUCGGGGACGGGCUGACGACGUCGGGAGGUCGUCGGCGAUCUUAGAGCAGAGGCGGCGAAGUCAAGGGUGCAGGGGGCGAUGCAGGCCGUUCGGCGUUGCCUGACUCGGCUGAGAGGACGAGGGCGUCGAGACGGAGCUGCUGGACAGCACGGGAAGGCGAGGGGAGCACGGUGGCUGCGGUGGUGGCGAGCGGCGGCGACGAACCCGUUCGGGUGGGUGAGAGAGAGAGGUCCAGGGGAGGGAAUGAGCACGGGGGAGAGCGGGAGGGGUCGAGGGGAGCGCGUGGCGUCUCCGGGGACGUCCAGGGAGAAGCGGCAAGCAGGAGGUGGCCGGGGCGCAUGGGCGCGCAUGGCGGCCACACGCCUCUCGUCCUACUGGCGAAAGGUGGGAGAUGACUGGCAGCGGCGCUGGGCUGGGCCGGCCAGGUGGGCUGGCCAGCUGGGCUGCGACAGGUGAGGCCAGGUAGGUUUCCUUUCUCUCUCUUUUUUUUAUUUGUUUCUAUUUUCUAAUAUUCUGUAGUCUUUAGGGCUUUAUUAAAAAUACUUAGACACUUCCAAAAAUCAUGAAACUACUCAUGAUCACUGUUGGGAAUAUAUCCUACAGUAAACAUUUUAGUUUAUGAUUAUUUGAGCAUUUAAAAUAUUUAAUAGCAUUUAAAUGCCCAAAUGCAAAUAGAGUAUGAUUUAAUCCAGAGCCCAAAUAUGUCAUGGAAAAAUGUGCAUCACCUUCGGUUACUGUUUCCAGCAUUUUCCAAGAAUGAUGAACAUUUUUGAAAGCCAUUUGGAUUUACUGGAAAUAUUUUGGUUGAACCUAGUGAAUUCCUUUAAUGCUAGGGUUUAGGCAAUCCCCAUUUCAAGUUUCUUUCAAAGUUUAAACAUGAUGCACACAUGAAGUUAGCCUAGGGCAAACCAGAACUAGGGAUGUGACAUGGCUCUAGUUUGGACCAACACUCCGAGGAGCACUGGCCCGGGGGGUAAAAUAAGAUGACCCUUGAGUCUGCAGAACCCAAGGGAAAAGGCUUAGGUGGCACAUGUUAAAACAGAGGUUGGGCCUUGCUGGAGGAGUUUUAUUCAAAGCGAACUAUCAAGGGGGUCCCAUAAAUCACCCAACCGCGUAAGGAAUGCAAAAUCACGGAACAUAACACCGGUAUGACGGAAACUAGGGCGGCAAGAGUGGAACAAAACACCAGGCAUAAGGCCGAGCCUUCCACCCUUUACCAAGUAUAUAGAUGCAUUAAUUAAAAUUAGAUAUAUUGUGGUAUCCCAACAUAAACAUGUUCCAGCAUGGAGCAAUCUUCAACUUCACCUGCAACUAACACGCUAUAAGAGGGGCUGAGCAAAAGCGGUAACAUAGCCAAACAACGGUUUGCUAGGAAGGGUGAAAAAAAGGUUAGAGGUUCAUGGCAAUUUGGGAGGCUUGAUAAGCAAGUGGUAGGUAGCGCGGCAUAGCAAUAGAGCGAACAACUAGCAAGCAAAGAUAGAAGUGAUUUCGAGGGUAUGGUCAUCUUGCCUGAGAUCCCGCAAGGAAGAAGAACGAGUCCAUGAAGAAGACAAACGGACGUAGUCGAACGAAUCCUCACAACUCCGGAACGAAACCGAAGCUAACGAGAGAAGCCAACCGGAAAGAAACAAACAACAUAGUAAACAACCACCACAUACACAUGGCAAGAUGCGCAAACAAGUAUGAUGCAUGUCCGAUUUAAUGAGGCAUGGCAUGGCAAAGUGCACAAACACUACUACAAGUUAAGUGGAGCACAAUAUGCAACGAGUUGCAUAUUGACAAAACACCACAUCAAUUAUUUAGUUCUCUCCCGUUUAUGUACCCAACAAUAUUAAAUGGUUAUUAACAUGGCAAUAGGGUGAAGCAUAAAUAAACUAACUAUUUAGGCAAGUAUAAAAGAGACCAGAACAACAAACAACAAUUCCGGAAAAUCCCCAUAAGCAUAUUCUUGAUUUGGUACUGUUCUGCCCUAAACACAAUUUUAAUGUUGUUAAACAGCAAAAUAAAGUGCACCAUGUUAAACUUGGCAUUUUUCUACCCCAUUUACAUAUAAAGUUUAUUAAAUUCCGAGUUACGGUUAAUUAGUUAUGAAAUAAAUCAUUUUAACAUGGCAUUCGAGCAAAUUUAAACAAACAGCAUUUUAAACAUUUUAAACAUGGAUGAGAGUGGCAUAUUAUGAAACUAGAUGAAGUUCUAGACAUUUUUUAUAUAAGAAGUAUUUUAAUCUGAUGCACGGUUUAUGAGAUAUUAUAUGCAUGAACAUGAGGGGUUUUUUUGUAAAACUGUAAUACUCUCGAUAAUGGACAAAAUCGCAGAUCUAGGAAAAAACUACACGGGCCGAAACUGGCUGGGCCAGCGGUGUACAGGAGAGUGGCUGGAGGGGGCUGCUCACCCAUGGGCCUAAGGAGGCGCUGGGCAGCUGGGCUGCGCGUGAAACAGAGGAGGUGGGGUCGUGCUCGAUGCAGAGUCAACGCAGGCGCGGCAUCGUCCUGUCGCUUGAAGCAGAGGAAGCAAGGGUCAGCGGCGGCUGUCUUGCUAGGCUUCGGGUGCGGGGAAUGAAGGCAGGUGCGUGCGGCGGCCCUGCAGAGGCUGUGGUGGCACUGGAGGUGGCCGGAGGAAGUGGACCCCGGCGGCGAGGUCCUCGGGGCCCAUAGGAGCUCUUGGCGCGAAUCCAUGGCGGCGCUGGACGCGGGUGACGGGGCGCAGGGGUCCAGGAACAAAGUGAGGAGGCGAGGGGCGGCCAUGGCGUUGGACGGAUGCGUCCGGUUCCUGCGAGAGAGAGAACGAGAGGUAACAGAGAGAUGUGAGGCAGGGGAAGAAGAAGAAAGGAAGAGAAAGGGCAGGGGCGCGAGGUCGAGGGGAACCGAUUCCCGACGGUGGGAGGCGGAUCUGGCGAGGCCGGGGCCGUGGGGGUCGGGGACGACCCGAUCUGUGUGGCGAAGGCGGCGGAAGUCCAUGGGCGGCGGCGGCUGAUGCUCCCUGGUGCAGCACAACAGAGAGAGAGGGAGGGAGAUGAGCACAGGCAGCAGGUGAAGGAAAGAAGAAGGAACGGGAGGGAGGAGGCGCGAGGUGAGGCAGGGGAGUGGGACGGCCUGCUGGAGGUGGCGCCUGCUCGCCGGAGACGCGGGAACUGCUGCUGCUUGCGGAGGGUGCUCGGGGCAGGGACUUGAGGACGCGCGAGGAGACGAGGUCGAGCGCUCCUGCUCGGGGUCGCCGGAGGGCGCGGCCUGCAAGGUCGGAGAGGCUCGGGCGUGAGGGCUCCUGCUCCACUGCUGCGGGCACGGGGACGAGGAGGUAGGCGCUGGUUGGAGUUAGUGGGAGGAGCUGCUGCGGGCUUCGGUGGUUUGUGGAGGGGAUCGAUGGAGAUUGACCGAUGGCUGAAAACGAGGAGAGGCUGUGGAUUUGGAUCGGGAGGAUCCCGAGGGGGAUUUGGUGAGUGGGGCUAGUGGCGGCGGCGCGACGGGACAAGGGGGAGGAUUUUUAGGGUUUGCCAAAAUGGACUAGGGGUGGACGAAUAUAUAUACAUCACGGAUUAGGUUAGGGGCUAAUCGGACCCUCCGAUUAAAAUCAAACGGUCAAGAUAAAUAGGUUGGGGAAUCCAACAAAGAAAACGGAGAUAUUUUCUAGAUGUUUGGGGAUGAUCCGAAUCCAACGGUGACAACAACCCGGGUCGGGUUCGGGUAAGUUUCGGACGCGCACGCGAGGGGUCUAUGCACUAUGCAGAGAGAUAAGGCGAACAAAGAAGAGGGAAACGAGAACACGGUUGGUCUCGAAACGGUCAACGAAGGCAGGGGACGCGGCAAGUACGAACAACUACGAGUUUUAUGAAAACAUGGGGAUGCAAUGCUCAUGAUGACAUGAUGAAUGCAACAAACGAAUAAAACACACAACGACAACGAAAAAAUAUGUAAGGCGACUGAAGCGUCGGUCUCGGGGCGUUACACCAAGGAGCCGAGGAAUCACCACAAGACCAGACACAUAGAUUGGAAAUAUCACCUCAUACGAAAGAUCGUAAAGAAUGGUGAUGUAGAGUUAUGCAAAAUUCACACGGAUGCAAAUGUUGCAGAUCCGUUGACUAAGCCGCUUCCACAACCCAAGCAUGAGGGGCACGUUAGAGCUAUGGGCAUUCAAUGUCUAUUUGAUUGACUCUAGUGCAAGUGGGAGACUGUUGGAGAUAUGCCCUAGAGGCAAUCAUGUAUGAUGAUAUUUCCUAUGUGUUUAUGAAUAAAGAUAGUCCUUGGAUAUUAUCAAUUAUGUGUAUCUUCAAGUACGUGACUUGUUUGUGGGACUAUGCAUUGUAUGAUGACUGUCCUAAAAGGUCCCUAGUCGAAAGGGCUGUGUGGACGCGCAGCCGACUAGACUAGCAUAUGACACGGUCGAUGGCUUGGUCUCACUAGCCAUGAAGCAUUGGAUGCUAACCGGAUAAUAUGGACUUGGAAAGGUCUGGUCGGAUUCUACGUAGUCGGAUCCGAGUCGAGAUAAGGUCCAAGUCGGACAGACCCAACUAUGAGACGCAGCGAUAUGUCAUCUGUGAGUCUCUAGUACAACAUACGUUCUAUGUCCUAAGACCUGAGCUGGCACAUGUACUUGGGAUGGUGACAGACCUGCUUUGGGUCGACCAAAUGCUACUCUGUGACUGGGUAGUUACAAAGGUAGGUUUCGGGCUUGUCCAGACCCAUGUUGCGAGACAUGGUCGAGCAAGAUGGGAUUUGCCCCUCCGACCAGGAGAGAUAUACUCUGGGCCCCUCGUGUGAUCCGACCAGGAUAAGCAUGGCCAUGCGACAAGGAUUAUGAGAUAAUCCGGUUUGUGGUCGGCAUCACUGGAACGAGAAAGAGGUCGGGCUAGCACAAGGAUGACAUACUCGCCUUGAGCUCGACAACAUAUAUCGUGUGGCAAAAGGAAUGGAAGUAUGAUGUACAGGUUCGCUAACCAGCUUCAUAGUCUGCUUGGUGUUCGGCAUGCCUUGCUAGGGGCCGCUACCAACCAUGCAGUUCGGAGGUGAUCCGAACUGCGACCAAGCAGGCUUGAACCUAAGGGGUCGCACGCUUAAGGGAAGGAACCUACAAGGUCGGAUCCGAGGACACUGGUCGGAUGUGAUCCGAGUUGUAUUCGGAUUGUGGCCGAGUAGACUUGUGGGCUUUAGGGUCCGUGCGAGGCCCAAGUGUUGAGCCCGCGACGGACGCCUAUAUAAAGUGGAGGUGCGGCACACUCAAGCUGUUGAUCGCUUCGGCGCUGUCACUAGGGUUUGCAUGUGUUGCGAAUAGACACCUCCACUCGCCGCCGGUUGUGUGAUCGGACCUAGCAGUUCGCCGCACAACGUUCCUCCUGCACGCGCAGAUACCGUUAGAGGCGGUGCACCUGCGCCGCUCCGGCGAACUUGUACGUGGGAUCAGACGACCAGCUAUUCGAGGGAGAUCGCACGAGGAGGAGACGAUCCACGCGGACGCGCUGCCCCAACUCUUUUUCCGUUGCACGGCACUGCGCGUCUAGUGGUAACGAACUGUGAUCCAUCUCCCAUAGCAUGUUCUUGGCUGUUCUGCACGUAGGAAUUUUUAGUUUGUAGUCGACUCACCCUACCAUAGAACCCAACACUUCCGCUCCAGCUCCUCCAGCCGGUCGCGUUUGGCGGCCUGCGUCUUCGCCAACUCCCCCAGCUCGGCGUCGCGGUUCUUGAUGGCGUCCUCCCGGGCCUUCAUCUCUUCCUCCUUCACAUGGUGGCCACGAGCUUCUUCCGCAUGCUAGUCGCGCAGACUCUUUAGCUCAUCCUCCAGCGCCCGGCAGCGGUCGCGGACGGCUUUGGCGUCCUUCAGCGCUGCCUCGCGAUCGGCCGCAGCCUGUGAGGCGGCCCGCUUCUCCUUCUCGGAGGCCGUCGCGGCCUGGCUCAGCGUCGCUCAGACCGCUACAUCAGACUGAAGCCAGCCGGAGGCCAGCUCCAGGCGCCCGGCUACCAGGCGCGGAUCCGCGCCCAGGAGAUCUUCCCGCAGCUGGGUCAUCUCUGAAAGGGCAUGCUCCAAGACAGCAGAGGAGGCAGAAGAACCUGAGAACAAUGGCGCGGCAGGAGAAGGAGGCGACGCCGUCACCAGGGCCUGGGAGACCAAGGGCUCCUGAGCCUUUGGGGCCUCGGCGGCCGAGCCGGACAUCGGUACUUCCGAAGCUAGCGGGGCCUCGGGGGCUGACUCCUCGUGACGAUGCUCCUCCAGGCCUCGCGAGGGCGACCGGGCCGGGGAGGUGCGAGUGCUGUCACCCCCUUUCCUCGCGGAAGGGGGCGCGGACGCUGCAUCCUCCUUCCUCUUCUUCGCCGAAGGCAGCGGCCUGGCCAACCAAGGACGGACGUCAGGAGGUAGCAGUAUAAGCAAGAACAAGAUGGAGCUCGAGCACUUACUGGUCCACCGCAGCAUAGUCCACCCUUCGCUUGGUGAGCUUGAAGCCCGAAAGCCUCGAGGCUUGAGGCGUGGGCGCGCCGCCUCCCGAAGCAGAGGACGGUCCAGCAGAGGGGCCAGAGGUAGUUCCGGGCGGCGUCAAGGCGGGGGCAGCAUCUCGGGAGACCAGCGAUGAUCUGCCCCUCGUCGGGACAACGGGCAGCUCCCCCUCCUCCUGGUGGGCGUUGGCCUCGUCGUCGUCCGGCAGGGUGCAGAGGAUGUCGGCCUUGCUCAAGGGGGAGGUCUAUCCCAUCUCCUUGGGGGUCUCCUCCGAGUCCUCCUCCCCUUCUUCCUUCCCACGAGAUUCGUCAGAAGACAGCUCCACCGGCUUCGGCGCUGCAGGGACCCCAGUAGGCGCCGACGGCACCAGCCCGCGCCCGUCGAAGGUAGGCCUGGCGGCCACGACCUGCUCCCAGUCCGUGCGGCGGAACAGAGGAACAAAGGCGCUCGGUGGGUACUCUUGGUUGUCCUCGACCAAGAGGCGCAAGACUGCGGAUAGCUCGUCGUCGGGCAAGGCCUCCAAGCUCAGGCGAAUCUUGUCUUCUUCAUCUCCAAGCCUCCACAAGGGGCGCGCACGCACCUGAAGAGGAGCAACACGCAGCGUCAAGAAUUCCCUCAGGAGCAUGGCCCCUGUCACCUUGGUCGCCCUCGCAUUUCCCGGCUUCAGGUCGGCCUUCAUCUGCUCCAACACCGACGACGCCCGCUCAUCAGUAAGCUCUGCACGAGACCACCCCUUGUCAAACUGGGGCAUCUUCGUCGGUAGCGCCAAGCGCGGGUGGACGCACUUGGCACCCAUCAUGAACCAUUUGGCCCUGAGGUUGUCGGCCUUCUUCCUGGUGUUCGAGAUCGAGUUGGCCUUGCCGGCCGCGAUGAAAUGGGCGCACCCGGAGAUGGCCCUCGCUGAUGCGGAGGAAGAAGAAGUGGCGCAGCAGAGCCACGGAUGGCAUCACGCCCAGAUACGCCUCGCAAUAGUAGGCGAAGAUGGACAGGAGAAGGAUGGAGUUGGGAUGAAGAUGCAGCACCUGCAGCCCGUAGUGGCCGAGGACCUCAUAGAAGAAGUUAGAGAAGGGGGGAACCAACCCCGCGGCGAUGCUGCUCGUGAAGAAGGGGAAGAACAUGCUCCCCUCGGGCUCCGGCACGUCGGAGGCAACCUGGAGCUCCGUCUUCCCCCUCUUGUUGCUCUCCCCCGCCGUAAGCAAGCACGUGGCGGAGAGGCUCUUCUCCGAGACGUUGGGCGUGCCGAGAGCAGGUUCAUACCAAGCCGGCGACGAUGAGGGCUUGACCUUGCGCGGUGCCAUUGGUCGCUGGAGCAAAGGAGAAUGGAAGCAUAUCUGGGGAUUUCGGAGGCAGAGCGCAAGAAGGGGAUUUGGGCAAGGCGAAGGGAAGCGGUGAAGACAAGUGCUGCCCACGCCAGCCUUUUUGUCAAGUCGGGCAGUUGCCGAGGUAGCGUGGGGAAGCGGAGACGCCCAUGUCCAAUCAACCGCCACGCGUCGACCAAGGCCGCAGGCUGUUGGGGCCCGCGGCGCUCCGUGCUUGACCUUUGGCUUCGCCUCGAAGCCAAGCCCGAGCGCGCCUUGGACCCGGGGGCUACUGUCGGCGUUCUAGGAACGGGGGUCCUCAGACUUGCCUGCUUGUGGCCCAUGGCGUGGCUUUGCUAGCAGGCCCAUACGACCCAUCUUCAUCAACAAGGCAUCCAAGACCCUUGUGAGGGGCCAAGCCUCGUGAGGCGGACGAUGCAAGACCUCCUCAGGAGCAGCCUCGCCAGGCAGGCUCACGAGGGGCGGAGAGAUCAAGGCAAGGCAAACCUCGCGAGGUUCUCGUGACGUGAUCCAUGACGAUCGAGACCAGGCGGGCGCCAGCGCGCAUAGUGUCCUUGUUUGCUCUUUGGUGCUAAGGAGGCAAGCGCAGGCGCGGAGUACCGAGGCAUCAAGCAAAGAUUUUCAUAUCAGUGCAACGAGACCAAGACCAGCAGGACGGCAAGACGGAGGUCGCCAUGGAGCCCAAGGCGGCGUCAUCACCAGAGCCUUUUGCAGGCGAAGACCACUUUUGUCAGGAUUAGCUGUACUAGUUGUCCCCUUUCAAAUUGGCCAUUGUUGGCUCCCUUCCCGCUCAAUAUUUGGGGAGAGGACCAGGGCCUAUAUAAGUAGGACUAGCCACCACAGUAGGGGGGGAGGUCGAACAAAGCCUCAGGCAUCUCAUCUUGAGUAAUCCUCACCCACACAAGUUCACCAAGCACAAGAACACCUCAUCCUCACGAGGUUGUUCUUCCCCCUUUGUACUAUUCAUCAUCAGCCCAAGAGGCAAUCCACCACCACCACACUAGAGUAGGGUAUUACACCACAAUGGUGGCCCGAACCAGUAUAAAUCUUGUGUCCCUUGUGUUGUGAGUUGGUUCUUGAGAUCUUAGCAGGCUAGGACGUGGAUCGGUAGGGGGAGAACUUCGCGCGCACCCCAGUGUUCGAACCUUGAGGGUUUUGCCGGAACCCGUGAUCCGAUAAUUGCCAUGCAACUUUCCACCGUUCCGUUUAUUAUGACACGCUCCAUCAUUGUCAUAUUGCUUUGCAUGAUCAUGUAGUUGACAUCUAUUUGUGGCAAAGCCACCGUUCAUGAUUUUCAUACAUGUCACUCUUGAUUCAUUGCACAUCCCGGUACACCGCCGGAGGCAUUCACAUAGAGUAAAAUUUUGUUCUAAGUAUUGAGUUGUAACUCUUGAGUUGUAAGUAAAUAAAAGUGUGAUGAUCAUCAUUAUUAUAGAAUUGUCCCAUGUGAAGAAAGGAUGGUGGAGACUAUGAUUCCUCCACAAGUCGGGAUGAGACUCCGGACGAAAAAUUAAAAAAAGAGAAAAAAAAAGAGGCCAUAAAAAAAGAGAAAGGCCCAAAUAAAAAAUGAGAGAAAAAGAGAGAAGGGGCAAUGCUACUAUCCUUUUACCACACUUGUGCUUCAAAGUAGCACCGUGAUCUUCAUGAUAGAGAGUCUCCUAUGUUGUCACUUUCAUAUACUAGUGGGAAUUUUUCAUUAUAGAACUUAGCUUGUAUAUUCCAAUGAUGGGCUUCCUCAAAUUGCCCUAGGUCUUCGUGAGCAAGCAAGUUGGAUGCACAUCCACUUAGUUUCUUUUGUUGAGCUUUCAUACACUUAUAGCUCUAGUGCAUCCGUUGCAUAGCAAUCCCUACUCACUCACAUUGAUAUCUAUUGAUGGGCAUCUCCAUAGCCCGUUGAUACGCCUAGUUGAUGUGAGACUAUCUUCUCCUUUUGUCUUCUCCACAAACACCAUUCUAUUCCACAUAUAGUGCUAUGUCCAUGGCUCACGCUCAUGUAUUGCGUGAAAGUUGAAAAGGUUUGAGAACAUCAAAAGUAUGAAACGACUGCUUGGCUUGUCAUCGGGGUUGUGCAUGAUUUAAAUAUUUUGUGUGAUGAAGAUAGAGCAUAGCCAGACUAUAUGAUUUUGUAGGGAUAGCUUUCUUUAGCCAUGUUAUUUUGAGAAGACAUGAUUGCUUUAUUAGUAUGCUUGAAGUAUUAUUAUUUUUAUGUCAAUAUUAAACUUUUGUUUCGAAUCUUUCAGAUCUGAACAUUCAUGCCACAAUAAAGAAAAUUACAUUGAAAAUUAUGUUAGGUAGCAUUCCACAUCAAAAAUUCGGUUUUUAUCAUUUACCUACUCGAGGACGAGCAGGAAUUAAGCUUGGGGAUGCUUGAUACGUCUCCAACGUAUCUUUAAUUUUUUAUUGUUCCAUGCUAUACAUUAUCUAUUUUGGAUGUUUAAUGGGCUUUAAUAUGCUCUUUUAUAUUAUUUUGGGGACUAACCUAUUAACCAAAGGCCCAGUGCCAGUUUCUGUUGUUUUUUUUUUGCCUAUUUCAGUGUUUUGCAGAAAAGGAAUACCAAACGGAAUCCAAACGGAAUGAAACCUUCGCGAUGAUCUUUCUUGGAAUGAAAGCAAUCCAGAAGACUUGGAGUUGAAGUCUGGAACUCCACUAGGCGGCCACGAGGCAGGAGGGCACGCCCAGGUGGGUAGGCGCGCCCCCACCCUCAUGGGCCCCAUGGAGCUCCACCGACGUACUUCUUUCGCCUAUAUAUACCCUUAUACCCUAAAAACAUCAGGGGGAGCCACGAAAUCACUUUUCCAUCACCGCAACCUUCUGUACCCGUGAGAUCCCAUCUUGGGGCCUUUUCCGGCGAUCUGCCGAGGGGGAAUCGAUUACGGAGGGCUUCUACAUCAACACCAUAGCCUCUCUGAUGAUGUGUGAGUAGUUUACCACAGACCUUCGGGUCCAUAGUUAUUAGCUAGAUGGCUUCUUCUCUCUCUUUGGUUCUCAAUACAAAGUUCUCCUCGAUGUUCUUGGAGAUCUAUUCGAUGUAAUACUCUUUUGCGGUGUGUUUGCCGAGAUCCGAUGAAUUGUGGAUUUAUGAUCAAGAUUAUCUAUGAAUAAUAUUUGGUUCUUCUCUGAAUUCUUAUAUGCAUGAUUUGAUAUCUUUGCAACUCUCUUCGAAUUAUCGGUUUAGUUUGGCCUACUGGAUUGAUCUUUCUUGCAAUGGGAGAAGUGCUUAGCUUUGGGUUCAAUCUUGUGGUGCCAUUUCCCAGUGACAGUAGGGGCACCAAGGCACGUAUUGUAUUGUUGCCAUCGAGGAUAAAAAGAUGGGGCUUAUAUCAUAUUGCUUGAGUUUAUCCCUCUACAUCAUGUCAUCUUGCUUAAUGCGUUACUCUGUUCUUAUGAACUUAAUACUCUAGAUGCAUGCUGGAUAGCGGUCGAUGUGUGGAGUAAUAGUAGUAGAUGCAGAAUCGUUUCGGUCUACUUGACACGGACGUGAUGCCUAUAUUCAUGAUCAUUGCCUAGAUAUUGUCAUAACUAUGCGCUUUUUUAUUAAUUGCUCGGCAGUAAUUUGUUCACCCACCGUAAUACAUGCUAUCUUGAGAGAAGCCACUAGUGAAACCUAUGGCCCCCGGGUCUCUUUCUUAUUAUAUUGCAUCUCUUUUAUUUACAUCACAUCUCAUUUUACUAUUUUGCAAUCUUUAUUUUCCAAUCUAUACAACAAAAAUACCAAAAAUAUUUAUCUUACUAUCUUUAUUAGAUCUCACUUUUGCAAGUGACCAUGAAGGGAUUGACAACCCCUUUAUCGCGUUGGUUGCAAGGUUCUUGAUUGUUUGUGCAGGUACUAGGUGACUUGUGUGUUAUCUCCUACUGGAUUGAUACCUUGGUUCUCAAAAACUGGAGGAAAUACUUACGCUGCUUUGCUACAUCACCCUUUCCUCUUCAAGGGAAAACCAAUGCAUGCUCAAGAGGUGCAUGCGCCUCCCACGACAUUUGGAAGAACGCUCACGUUCAUCGUUAUCUCCUCCCCCUCCCUCUCACGUCGACCACCAUGGCAUCACCCCUCCCAAGCCCUAGGCGCCCCUCGCUGCACCGCGCGGACGGUCACGCGUCACCGUCCGUUCCUCGCCACCACUAGUCGAGGAGGACGCGUCGGUGUUCCGCUCCUCGCCGCGAUGCGUCCAGGUGGACGUGUCGGCAUUCCCAGUCUCGCCAGCACGCGCGUCAGAGGACGCGUCAGCUCCUCGCUACGAGGAGAACGUCGCGCCGCCUGCCAAGCCCCCUUGCCUUGAGGAGCUUUGGAAAGAAAUGGAGGUCGCCUUGUGGGAGGCUUUGCCUUCGGCAGAGUGCGCCAAAAUAGAGGUGGAGAAGAAGGCCGAGGAAGAGAAGCGCGCCGCAAGGCAUGCUGCCUGGCAGGCCUAUGUCGCGUUCGAGAGAGUCAGGCAAUUGGCUCUUUGGCAAAAGGCUCGUGCGAGGGCCGUGAGGGUGGCGGAGGACGCCCGUGCCAAAGCCCUGAGUGCAAUUAGGCCCAAGCGCCUGAUCUACGCUUGGCGGUACGUGGACCGGGUCCACAGUUCCAGCAAGGAGGAGUACCUGUUGGCGCCGGAUCACCACGCCGGUGAGAUCGUGCUCGCCCACCGGCAAGCCGCCAACCAGCACCUCGCGAGUUGCGAGGCUGAGGAAGAGGCGUUGUGUCGGCACGCUGGGAAAUGGCCCCGCACCAGGGCCCUCGUGGCACGCCGCAAGCGCUCCUGCGAGCAUCGUGGCUUUUAUUAGGAAUAAUUUAGUUUCGUAAGGCGAUCUCAUUAGUUUUGGGACGCAAAUGAUAAAUCCCGAACGUCCGGGAAUUAUUACCGUCCUUAAUUAAGUAUGUAAAAGGAAAAGUUUGGAAACCUUGUGUAUCCAUACGCAUUUUGUAAGUACGUGCAUAUAGCACAGACUCUACUAUAUAUCGCACUACAUGUCUCUCCCUAUAUAUGCUUGCAGACUGUGCUACUACUAUUACUUAUGUAUGUGCAAAUGCACAUUUUAACAUUACGAUGCGGUUUUUGUAAAAGUAGAAAAACAGCACUAGUAAAGCUUGUGAAACGAUUCAAUGCAAAAGAAAUGCAAAAAUGCUCGUUUGAUUGUUUACUUUUAGCUUCCUUCUUUGUGGUUAUUUCUCUAUCGUACUUUGUACGGAGUAUCUCACUGGUCGGGAAGGCAUGCAAAUUCCCAAACCGCUUCCUACACCCUGUAUAGAAUUUUUCGCCUAACAAGUUGUGCCGUGCAAUUGGAAUUCCAACUUGAGUACUACUACUAGGAGUACCAGGGGCAAUUUUUUUAGGCUUCUUGGAGUAGUAGCUAGGGAUAGUAGGAGUAGUAGAUAGGGAUAGUAGGAGUAGUAGCUAGGGAUCGAGUGUGCGAGAUGAACCGGCCAAAGUAAAUGCAGAGAGAUGAAAUGCAAAAAAGACGGAGGGAUGUGAUCAUUGCUUGUCCGUUUAUUUUACUAGGCCACUUAUUACUGGGAGUGGUGGAGUUUUGUAUAUGACGGCUUUACUGCCGCGCCACGAGCGGGGUGAGACUCCCGUGCAGCACCGCCCUCUACACUAGUACUACUACCUCGGUCGUGGUUUAUUAGUCCCCCAUUGAAUUUGACUGAAGAUUUAACUCACAAAAUGUUAUUGCAUGUCAACAAAAACUAUAUCGUUGGAUUCAUAUUUGAACAUAGUUUUCAAUGAUAUAAUUUUUUGUGAUAUGCAUGAGCAUUUAUCGUACUAUAUAUAAUGUUAGGUAAAUUUAUGGUCGUACUAAUAUAUAGUAAGGCGCCCGUGCGUUGCAUGGAACAGUGAAAUGCAUUGAUCAGGGAGUUGUUUAUUUUGACAAAGUAUGUGGGGGUCAUCUCAUGUGUAACGAGUAUCGAUAGGUUUCUUCGGAUAUUAUUUCUUCUCUAGAGCUCACAAACAUCUGGGUGAAAUAGAUAAAAAGUAUCUUUUGCAAACAAAAGUGUUCAACUGUUCAACCUGCAUCCAAAACUUGUGAAAAAAUAACACUUUUAUUCAAGCGCGAUACUCUAAUAGAGCAAGAUCAUGCAUGGAAGGUUUUAUACUAUAUAAAUAAGAAGUCUCCACAUGCUUAGACAGCGGAUUACAUUGAGCAAAGACUAAUGAUCAACAUUUAACCUGGUAAUACAUAUGUCCAGGUGAAGCUCCUUGGAGUCCCCAUGCACCAUCUUGGGGUGAAAAUCAUACCAUGGGUCUUCCAUGUCCACAUCGCCGGGAAUGGAGCAGCUCGGCAUAGUCCCAGUCAGCGUGAUGGAGGCGGUGUGGGCGCCCACGUACCUCUGAGGGGCAGUAACAGUGAGCAUGCACCCAUACAUCGGCCUCGUGUCAGCGUCACCGUCAGCGGCAUUGCCCCUGACGCACACUACAGAGACGGGGCAGUCCCCUGCGCGGGCCUUGCCGGUGCCCACGGCCAAGAGGAAGACGCUGCCGUCCUCCUCCACGACUAGCAUGCGGCGGUGAUCCUCCAGCGACUCCAGCACGGAGAACGGGUAGCACGUCUCGUACUUGAUGUUCACCACCGCGGGCCAGUAGUGAUCGACGGACGGUGCCGUGAGGUGAUGCACGAGGCUCGCCGGCGAGCGCUCAAACGGCGGCGUGCACUCAUAGCAUUAGCAGGGCGUGUGCGCGCAUCUUCUAUGCUCCGCCAGCGAGUGAUGGUCGACGUACCUCUUGCAGCCGAAACUCUUGUAGACGCAGGGCACCUUGGAGGCAUCGACCAGGCCAUCCAUGAAAAGGGAGUGGUUGUAGGGGACGUUGCGCCUGUUGAAUAUAUGAGCAAGUUACUACGAGAUUUAAUCUGAAUAAGCACAAAAUAAAUCCUGACGGCUAUAACAGAGAUUAAACUAAUCAUGUGGACUAGCAUAGUAGAUGAACAGAUCAAAUCUAGGACACGGACUAGAAACAUGAAUUCUACCACGAUUUCGAACAGGAAGGGCAGAAACACAUACGAUGCAAUGGGAGCAGCACCGUUGGAGUUGAGGUUGUCGCCCAUGUCGUUGAGGAAGAGGUUGCUGAGGUAUGGGAAGAAGUCGUCAUCGGUGAAGUCGUCGCUGCCAGCAGUCGCGCGAGUGCGCUCCCCAAAUUCCAACAGCGCCCGCCAAAUGGAGUGCAGGAGGGAGUGGCUGUAGGGGACGUUGCGGCCGCCGAAUGGAGCGCAGGAUUAGCACACGAAGCAGUAGAUGGUGCUCCUCCCUAGUCUCUAUCUCUACUAUACUCGUACAAAAACACGAGUUGGUGAUGAUGGUGUGUCUUCCAUCUUGUAAUAUAGACCGUCUGAUCUAUAUCUGACGUAUAUAAAGCAAACUAUGACAAUUUUACAAAAGAUACCCACACCUCUCUCCACAUUUACAGAUAAGGCCUUGCCUCGUUCAUCCUUAUCUCCCACAACCUCAUUGCUGAGCAAUUAAAAAAGGAUGUCUCUGGAACAAUCUGGCAUGGUGGCCGCUGCCGGCGCCGUCCAUCCCCAUGCCUCAGCCCAAUCCGACCACCAGUCACCACCACGCCCCACUCCUCCUCACCUUAUCUCUCAUCUUUCACGAGAUAUCAUUUUUUUGGUGAAAUUCUCGAGAUACAAUUUUUCCGAUAAAAUUAUCGAGAUAUCAUUAGUUUUUACACAUGGGAUUACUCCUGCAUGGGUCAAUCACAACAGGUGUUUUGUAAAAAAAUGCAUCUUGAUGUUCCGUUCAAUGCACGGGCAUCUUGCUAGUUUGCAUAUAAUUCCAAACACCACGUAGGCAUAGUCUUUGACCAUUUUACAACUAUGUUAGUAUCAUUGUUAGUGGCCAGCCGGUGCAAGUUAUAGCCCCGGGUGUUUUCACCUUUUUUUAGUAAUGAUAUCUGGCGAUUGUUCGCCAUGAGCUCAGUCCUGGCAAAUCCCACGUAACCGUCAGAUUUCCAUCCGACGGUGGCCUGUUUUUAAGCCAUAGUAUUUGACAAAACCGCCACCCCUACACACGUACCGUAACUGCGUCGCGGGAAUUUGCAACUGCCAUGUCUCCCAGUGAACGUUUGCUGGGGAUUGGAGUUAGCACUGAUGGCGGUUCGUAGUCGUUCCACGCUCGGUCAUUGAAGUUUGUAACUAUUUUAGAUUAGAAUAUACUACUCCUCCGGUGCUAGUAGUAGAGCAGAGUCCUAUCCACUACUCUAUAUGCAAACUAGGGCAUAGUAGUAGGUACUGUAGGGAGUACUAGUACCGUGAUCACUCAAGUAAGCUGUCUGGCAUCGAUAUGACCCUACGCUGCUGGGAUGUGUAUUGUAAGUCAAGCGGCGUGCUAUUGUCAUCAUCACCAGUCCACUUCCCACAGCACAUAUUCGCUUCUCCAUCUUCGUCCGCACAUAAUCGUCCAAUCUUCCAUCCCCGCUAAGGCGCCUCCCCCCUCUUCCGAAACCCAAGCACUAACAAUGGCAGAACCGAGCAGCGUCCGCUACAAGAGUGGCUAGAAUUCGCUCCGCACAGAGGUAAUCAAGCUCAUUGUUUCGCGUGUGGACAAUCUCAGUACCAUGGCGCUCGCCGCGUGCUCGUCGGGGCUGUACCGUUUACUCAAAGCCCUCAGGCCGGAGCUUUUUAAGCCAGCUCCUUGCUUGCUGAUGCCACCUGAUCUUCAGAAAUGGCGUGUCACGCAACAUAACAAUCAUAUGGUGGCGACUGGCGAGCAUCAACCCCCUUGACUGCGAUCUGAUCCCUGUCACCCUCAACUACAUUAACGGUAUGUACUGGGUCGGCAUGAACACGUCUUGGAUGGUGCUCGUCGACGGUCGCGGCAGCUGGAUGCUCGUGGAGGUCUACACCCGGCGAUUGAUCCCCCUUCCUUCGAUUAACACUGCACUGCUUUGGCACUAUGGCCCAGAAUACUCGGAAUCUUACAGUAGCCAACAUGAUACCAAGUUUGAUUUGCUCAAGGUUGUAAUCUGCCAAGUGCCCACAAGAUCUCUGAAUUAUAAAGACUUCUGGCUAAUUGCGUUCUUCAACCGCGGUCUCGCCUAUUUGAUAGUUCACUGCGGUAAGUGGAUAAAUCUGCACGUCCAUCGCAGGAUCAUACAUUCGCCAUGGUUCUCUGAUGCCAUUGAACACAAGGGCUUCAUUUACGCUGUGGACUCCUUCUAUGGCUGGACGUAUUGCUGGCCUACUCCAGUCAUCGUUACAAAUGACUGUUACAGCAGUAUGUUACUUUCCUAUGAUAUCAUGAUGGCUUGCUUAUAUUACUGUCAACAUUUACUGAAAAAAUAUUCAUGCUCAUAACAUGCUGUUCUUAAGAUUGACUAUAGUACGAGCCCUUUUUUAUUUGACUCCAACUUGAUAUGAUGUUGUAGGCCGCCUGGUGUCCCUACCCUUCCUAAUCCUAGAACAUUUCAAAGAAAAGUGGCAUGGCAGUUGUAGGUGGUUCCUGGCUCGAUCAGACAACGAUGAACGAUUGAUGAUCGUUCGCACGUACCGGACAUGUUGUUUCGCAGAAUACAAUCACAAUCACUGUAAGGUCUUUGAGCAGGAUCCCAGCUUCUUUGGGCCUUCGGGAAUUUUUGACUGGAGGCUGGCAAGUAGCCUUGGUACACGCUCUCUGUUUCUCGGACUGAAUUAUCCGAUUAACCAGGAGAUAACCGAAGCCUGCACCAGCCUGCUAACAGGCUUUGAGGUAAGCGACACAAAAGAGAAAGCCAUAGUAUAGACAGUAGCCGGACAGAGGAUCAAGUAAUUUUCGCAGGAAACUAACUAAAUAUGUCUUAUGUGAAUAAGUAGGCGUCGUUGCUGGCCGCAACCUCUCAUGCUGCUGAGGUCUCCGGACUAAAGCAGAGUCUGGAGCUAGCCGAGGAAAAGCUCGACCAGGCAAGGAAACAGCUAGAGGAGAAGCAAGGUAUGUAAUGACUUGCUGUAUGUUCAGAAAGAAUAAAUGAUGUUUACUGACCAUAGUGCUAUGAUAUUUGUAGGAGCGGCUACUGAGGUUGAAACCCUCAAGAAAGCGCUAGCCGAGGCCGAGGAGAGGGCAGCGAAGGAACAAGCUGCCCAGAAAAAGCAUGAGGCCAGGGUUGGGGAGGUCCAGCAGGAGCUCCAGGACGCCUUGAAGAAAUACGAGUCCUUGGAGCGCCAGCAUGCGGACCAAGAGUCCGAACUCGCGAAGGCCCGCCAAAGCACACAAGAGGCCCGGGCCGAAGCCCAAGGAACCCUCCAGGAAAUCCAAGAGGCCAAGAAGAUCACGGCGGGUAAGGAUUUUAUUAUGCAAAGCAAGUAUGUGAAGAAGAGGUAUCUCUUACUGACCCGGAUUUGGAGUUCUCCAGGGGCGUUUGCGGAUCUGCCGCGCAGCGUUUCUGACGCUGCUGAAUUCUUUCGAGCCGAAGAGGGGAGCUCAACGGAGAAGCUGUUCUGGUCGCAAUACCUUGCGCCAGAACAUCCGGUGCCCUUUAGCGAUUAGCUAAAACAGCUGGUCGAGCUGCAUAGGGUGGCCGAACUGGCCAUGAAGGACUUAAUAAUCCGGUUGUGGCCUGCCUAAGCCAUACCCAGCAGCUACUUUGGUCUCGUGAAGCGGCUAGUCGAUGCCUGCCCUCGGCUUGACGCCAUCAAGCGGUCGGUCUGUAUUGAAGGUGCGCGGAUGGCCUUCACCCGUGUCAAGAUGUAGUGGGCGAAGAUGAACGCCGUCACGGUCGUGACCGAGGGACCGCCCGCGGGCAAGGAGCACCGCACGCCCGAGCGAUAUUUUAGCGAUGUCCUGGAGGGAUCCGGCAUUGUGGUGGAGCAAUGUACGAAGGAUGUAAUCUUUGAAUGAAUACAUUCAUAUUGUCUCGCCCUAUAUGAUGAAACAAGUUCGGCUAUGUAAUAUAAUGUUUGUCUAAUAUUUUACCUCAUGUGCGACCGUGUUUAUGAAAUUUUGAGAGUUGGCCAGUCGUCGGCUUCAGCCCCCACGUAGGUAGUACGGGGGUGUUCGGGACGUAAUCUAAACACUCUUGAUCCAAUUGUUUGGUCCUUGAAGGAGGUGUUUAGCGCAACGAACCAGGCAAUCAGACUAUGUGGCUUUAUCACCCUCACUUAGCCAUAGGAGUUUGACAAUGAAAAUUUAGGCGCAGCCCCUAGUAUACAAACUAGGGUACUGUAAACACCUGAUCGGGUAAGAGCCGAUUCAUCGCAUAAUGCAGAAAAAAUCGCUAGAGAUUUGAAACCUCCGAAGAGCUGACCGGCUCUUGCCGCAUCAUGACAGUCAGUUUUUGGCUUUCUCUACUAAGGUGCUCAUCCAGAUAAACCAGGACACAAUCGUAGUAGUUCUCCCUUUACUACCCUAGCCGAUAUAGCGAAACGUAAGGUAGUAAGCACAGGAGCCGGGCAACCCAACUAUUGACCAAAGACAUGAUUUGGAGCCAAUGCAUAUAAUGCUAAAUUCGGGGUGCUGAACUAUAUUGUAAAAAGUUUUCGGACUUUGUUGUCAUAUUAUGGGUCGCAAUGAAGCCCCUUACAGAUUAAAGCGUACCAAAGUGUACGGGUGCGACUUGAGAAGAUUAUCAAAAAAGGAAAAAGGAUGUAGUAAGCUAAUGCCGCAGAAGUUGGGCCGCUAACUGUUUCCAUUAUAGUUUGAUUGAUACGUCAAAGCGUAUUUGUACAAGUAGUGCAAUAAGCAACAGGGCUAUUUAAUAUGCCACGACCAAGGGAGAGCUGUGUGCGGGUCCUGAAAACAGGUAGAGUGAUCGUUAAAGAGACCACCUGGAAAUUCCCUUGUACGCCAGUGCUUCUUGCCAUCUUGGUGUAUCCAUCCUAUCGAGAGGACCGAUGAUCAGGUCGUCUGAAGAAGCCUGCGUAAAAGAAACCUGAAAAGGAUAAAAAAAGAAAAAUUGAAAGUAUGUGUGUCCAGGAGCGGUCGAGCCGUAUUAUGGAUCACAAGCUAGUUAUGCCUCCAUCUAUGCCCAUGGUAUUUUGAGUGCGUAGUUAUGUACGCGCGGUACGAAUGCCGCCACUUGGUUGGGACCGAGCCGGAGGCCAAAUUGCUAGUCGAGCUCUUGACGAGCUGGGCUGUACUGCGGCAGAGUAGUCCGGCCUCGUUUGACGGUGUCCGGGAGCUCGGCCGACGAAUUAAGGUUCUGCUUGAGAAGGCCACUCUGUACUUCUGCUGCUAACACAGCGGUGUGCUCGGUACGGAGGGAGCGUUCCAUGUUUCCAUUGACUAUUAUGACACCGCGUGGUCCAGGCAUCUUGAGCUUGAGAUAAGCGUAGUGUGGCACCACGUUGAAUUGAGCAAAUGCGGUUCGUCCGGGCAUUGCGUGAAAGCCACUGCGAAAGGGGACGAUAUCGAAGAUCAACUCUUUGCUUCGGAAGUUGUCCGGGGAUCCGAAGACAACCUCUAGUGUGAUUGAGCCCGUGCAACGGGCCUCUACACCUGGUAUGACACCUUUAAAGGUAGUAUUGGUGGGCUUAAUUCUUGAGGGAUUAAUGCCCAUUUUGUGCGUUGUAUCCUCAUAGAGCAGGUUCAGACUGCUAUCACCGUCCAUUAGGACUCGCGUGAGGUGAAAUCCAUCGAUGAUUGGAUCGAGGACCAGUGCGGCUGAACCGCCAUGACGGAUACUGGUCGAAUGGUCCCUGCGAUCGAAAGUGAUCGAACAAGAAGACCAUGGGUUGAACUUUAGGGCGACUGGCUCCAUCGCGUAGACGUCCCUGAGCGCGCGCUUGCGCUCCCUCUUGGGGAUGUGGGUGGCGUAUAUCAUGUUCACCGUUUUGACCUGAGGGGGAAACUUCUUCUGUCCCCCUUGUUGGGGAACGUAGUAAUUUCAAAAAAAUUCCUACGCACAUGCAAGAUCAUGGUGAUGCAUAGCAACGAGAGGGGAGAGUGUUGUCCACGUACCCUCGUAGACCGACAGCGGAAGCGUUAUCACAACGCGGUUGAUGUAGUCGUACGUCUUCAUGAUCCGACCGAUCAAGUACCGAACGUACGGCACCUCGGAGUUCUACACACGUUCAGCUCGAUGACGUCCCUCGAACUCCGAUCCAGCCGAGUGUUGAGGGAGAGUUUCGUCAGCACGACGGCGUGGUGACGAUGAUGAUGUUCCACCGACGCAGGGCUUCGCCUAAGCUUCGCAACGGUAUUAUCGAGGUGUAAUAUGGUGGAGAGGGGCACCGCACACGGCUAAGAGAUCUCAAGGAUCAAUUGUUGUGUUUUUGGGGUGCCCCUCUGCCCCCGUAUAUAAAGGAGCAAGGGGGAGGCAGCCGGCCAAGGGGAGAGGCGCGCCAAAGGGGGUAGGACUCCUCCUUUCCUUGUUGGAAUAGGAGAAGGGAAAGGAGAAGGAGAAAGAAGGAAGGGGGCGCCCCCCUUCCCUAGUCCAAUUCGGACCAGAUCAUGGGGAGGGGCGCGGCCACCUUUUGAGGCCUUUCUCUCCUUUCCCGUAUGGCCCAUUAAGGCUCAAUACGAAUUCCCGUAACUCUCCGGUACUCCGAAAAAUACCCGAAUCACUCGGAACCUUUCCGAAGUCCGAAUAUAGUCGUCCAAUAUAUCGAUUUUUACGUCUUGACCAUUUCGAGACUCCUCGUCAUAUCCCCGAUCUCAUCCGGGACUCCGAACUCCUUCGGUACAUCAAAACUCAAUAAAACUAUCAUCGUAACGUUAAGCGUGCGGACCCUACGGGUUCGAGAACUAUGUAGACAUGACUGAAACACAUCUCCGGUCAAUAACCAAUAGCGGGACCUGGAUGCCCAUAUUGGCUCCCACAUAUUCUACGAAGAUCUUUAUCGGUCAGACCGCAUAACAACAUACGUUGUUCCCUUUGUCACCGGUAUGUUACUUGCCCGAGAUUUGAUCGUCGGUAUCUCAAUACCUAGUUCAAUCUCGUUACCGGCAAGUCUCUUUACUCGUUCCGUAACACAUCAUCCCGCAACUAACUCAUUAGUCACAAUGCUUGCAAGGCUUAUAGUGAUGUGCAUUACCGAGUGGGCCCAGAGAUACCUCUCCGACAAUUGGAGUGACAAAUCCUAAUCUCGAAAUACGCCAACCCAACAAGUACCUUUGGAGACACCUGUAGAGCACCUUUAUAAUCACCCAUUUACGUUGUGACGUUUGGUAGCACACAAAGUGUUCCUCCGGUAAACGGGAGUUGCAUAAUCUCAUAGUCAUAGGAACAUGUAUAAGUCAUGAAGAAAGCAAUAGCAACAUACUAAACGAUCGAGUGCUAAGCUAACGAAAUGGGUCAAGUCAAUCACGUCAUUCUCCUAAUGAGGUGAUCCCGUUAAUCAAAUCACAACUCAUGUCUAUGGCUAGGAAACAUAACCAUCUUUGAUUAACGAGCUAGUCAAGUAGAGGCAUACUAGUGACACUCUGUUUGUCUAUGUAUUCACACAUGUAUUAUGUUUCCGGUUAAUACAAUUCUAGCAUGAAUAAUAAACAUUUAUCAUGAUAUAAGGAAAUAAAUAAUACUUUAUUAUUGCCUCUAGGGCAUAUUUCUUCAGUCUCCCACUUGCACUAGAGUCAAUAAUCUAGUUCACAUCGCCAUGUGAUUUAACAUCAAUAAUUCACAUCACCAUGUGAUUAACACCCAUAGUUCACAUCUCUAUGUGACCAACACUCAAAGGGUUUACUAGAGUCAAUAAUCUAGUUCACAUCGCUAUGUGAUUAACACCCAAAGAGUACUAAGGUGUGAUCAUGUUUUGAUUUGUGAGAUAAUUUUAGUCAACGGGUCUGUCACAUUCAGAUCCGUAAGUAUUUUGCAAAUUUCUAUGUCUACAAUGCUCUGCACGGAGCUACUCUAGCUAAUUGCUCCCACUUUCAAUAUGCAUCUAGACCGAGACUUAGAGUCUUCUAGAUUUAGUGUCGAAACUUGCAUCGACGUAACCCUUUACGAUGAACCUUUUGUCACUUCCAUAAUCGAGAAACAUUUCCUUAUUCCACUAAGGAUAAUUUUGACCGUUGUCCAGUGAUCUACUCCUAGAUCACUAUUGUACUCCCUUGCCAAAAUCAGUGUAGGGUAUACAAUAGAUCGGGUACACAGCAUGGCAUACUUUAUAGAACCUAUGGCCAAGGCAUAGGGAAUGACUUUCAUUCUCUUUCUAUCUUCUGCCGUGGUCGGGCUUUGAGUCUUACUCAAUUUCACACCUUGUAACACAGGCAAGAACUCUUUCUUUGACUGUUCUAUUUUGAACUACUUCAAAAUCUUGUUAAGGUAUGUACUCAUUGAAAAAACUUAUCAAGCGUCUUGAUCUAUCUCUAUAGAUCUUGAUGCUCAAUAUGUAAGCAGCUUCACCGAGGUCUUUCUUUGAAAAACUCCAAUCAAACACUCCUUUAUGCUUUGCAGAAUAAUUCUACAUUAUUUCCGAUCAACAAUAUGUCAUUCACAUAUACUUAUCAGAAAUGUUGUAGUGCUCCCACUCACUUUCUUGUAAAUACAGGCUUCACCGCAAGUCUGUAUACAACUAUAUGCUUUGAUCAACUUAUCAAAGCGUAUAUUCCAACUCCGAAAUGCUUGCACCAGUCCAUUGAUGGAUCGCUGGAGCUUGCAUAUUUUGUUAGCACCUUUAGGAUUGACAAAACCUUCUGGUUGCAUCAUAUACAACUCUUCUUUAAUAAAUCCUUUAAGGAAUGCAGUUUUGUUUAUCCAUUUGCCAUAUAUCAUAAAAUGUGGCAAUUGCUAACAUGAUUCAGACGGACUUAAGCAUAGAUACGAUUGAGAAACUCUCAUCGUAGUCAACACCUUGAACUUGUCGAAAAACCUUUUUGCGACAAUUCUAGCUUUGUAGAUAGUAACACUACUAUCAGCGUCCGUCUUCCUCUUGACGAUCCAUUUAUUCUCAAUUGCUUGCCGAUCAUCGGGCAAGUCAACCAAAGUUCAUACUUUGUUCUUCAUACAUGGAUCUCAUCUCAGAUUUCAUGGCCUCAAGCCAUUUCGUGGAAUCUGGGCUCACCAUCGCUUCUUCAUAGUUCGUAGGUUCAUCAUGGUCUAGUAACAUAACCUCCAGAAUAGGAUUACCGUACCACUCUGGUGCGGAUCUUACUCUGGUUGACCUACGAGGUUCAGUAAUAACUUGAUCUGAAGUUCCAUGAUCAUCAUCAUUAACUUCCUCACUAAUUGGUAUAGGCGUCACAGAAACUGGUUUCUGCGAUGAACUACUUUCCAAUAAGGGAGCAGGUACAGUUACCUCAUCAAGUUCUAUUUUCCUCCCACUCACUUCUUUCGAGAGAAACUCCUUCUCUAGAAAGGAUCCAUUCUUAGCAACGAAUGUCUUGCCUUCGGAUCUGUGAUAGAAGGUGUACCCAACUGUCUCCUUUGGGUAUCCUAUGAAGACACAUUUCUCCGAUUUGGCUUUGAGCUUAUCAGGAUGAAACCUUUUCACAUAAGCAUUGCAACCCCAAGAAACGACAACUUUGGUUUCUUGCCAAACCACAGUUCAUAAGAUGUCGUCUCAACGGAUUUAGAUGGUACCCUUUUUAACGUGAAUGCAGCUGUCUCUAAUGCAUAACCCCAAAACGAUAGUGGUAAAUUGGUAAGAGACAUCAUAGAUUGCACUAUAUCCAAUAAAGUACGGUUAUGACGUUCGGACACACCAUUAUGCUAUGGUGUUCCAGGUGGCAUAAAUUUGUGAAACUAUUCCACAUUGUUUUAAUUGAAGACCAAACUCAUAACUCAAAUAUUUGUCUCCGCGAUCAGAUCGUAGAAACUUUAUUUUCUUGUUACGAUGAUUUUCUACUUCACUCUGAAAUUAUAUGAACUUUUCAAAUGUUUCAGACUUAUGUUUCAUCAAGUAGAUAUACCCAUAUCUGCUCGAAUCAUCUGUGAAGGUGAGAAAAUAACGAUAUCCGCCACGAGCCUCAAUAUUCAUUGGACCACAUACAUCUGUAUGUAUGACUUCCAACAAAUCUGUUGCUCUCUCCAUAGUUCCGGAGAACGGCGUUUUAGUCAUCUUGCCCAUGAGGCAUGGUUCGCAAGCAUCAAGUGAUUCAUAAUCAAUUCAUUCCAAAAUCCCAUCAGUAUGGAGUUUCUUCACGUGCUUUACACCAAUAUGACCUAAACGGCAGUGCCACAAAUAAGUUGCACUAUCAUUAUUAACUUUGCAUCUUUUGGCUUUAAUAUUAUGAAUAUGUGUAUCACUACUAUCGAGAUCCAACAAACCAUUUUCGUUGGUGUGUAUGACCAUAGAAGGUUUUAUUCAUGUAAACAGAACAACAAUUGUUCUCUAACUUAAAUGAAUAACCGUAUUGCAAUAAACAUGAUCAAAUCAUAUUCAUGCUCAACGCAAACACCAAAUAACACUUAUUUAGUUUCAACACUAAUCCCGAAAGUACAGGGAGUGUGCGAUGAUGAUCAUAUCAAUCUUGGAACUACUUCCAACACACAUCGUCACCUCGCCUUUUACUAGUCUCUGUUUAUUCUGCAACUCCCGUUUUCGAGUUACUACUCUUUAGCAACUGAACCAGUACCAAAUACUGAGGGGUUGCUAUAAACACUAGUAAGUACACAUCAAUAACAUGUAUAUCCAAUAUACCUUUGUUCACUUUGCCAUCCUUCUUAUCCACCAAAUACUUGGGGCAAUUCCGCCUCCAGUGACCACUUCCUUUGCAGUAGAAGCACUUAGUCUCAGGCUUAGGUACAGACUUGGGCUUCUUCACUUGAGUAGCAACUUGCUUGCCGUUCUUCUUGAAGUUCCCCUUCUAUCCCUUUGCCCUUUUCUUGAAACGAGUGGUCUUGUUAACCAUCAACACUUGAUGCUCUUUCUUGAUUUCUACCUUCGUCGAUUUCAGCAUCGCGAAGAGCUCGGGAUUUACUUUCGUCAUCCCUUACAUACUAUAGUUCAUCACGAAGUUCUACUAACUUUGGUGAUGGUGACUAGAGAAUUCUGUCAAUCACUAUUUUAUCUGGAGGAUUAACUCCCACUUGAUUCAAGCGAUUGUAGUACCCAGACAAUCUGAGCACAUGCUCACUAGUUGAGCGAUUCUCCUACAUCUUUUAGCUAUAGAACUUGUUGGAGACUUCAUAUCUCUCAACUCGGGUAUUUGCUUGAAAUAUUAACUUCAACUCCUGGAACAUCUCAUAUGGUCCAUGACGUUCAAAACAUCUUUGAAGUCCCGAUUCUAAGCCAUUAAGCAUGGUGCACUAAACUAUCAAGUAGUCAUCAUAUUGAGCUAGCCAAACGUUCAUAACAUCUACAUCUGCUCCUGCAAUAGGUCUGUCACCUAGCGGUGCAUCAAGGACAUAAUUUUUCUGUGCAGCAAUGAGGAUAAUCCUCAGAUCACGGAUCCAAUCCGCAUCUUUGCUACUAACAUCUUUCAACAUAAUUUUCUCUAGGAACAUAUCAAAAUAAAACAGGGAAGCAACGACGCGAGCUAUUGAUCUACAACAUAAUUUGCAAAAUACUAUCAGGACUAAGUUCAUGAUAAAUUUAAGUUCAAUUAAUCAUAUUACUUAAGAACUCCCACUUAGAUAGAUAUCCCUCUAAUCAUCUAAGUGAUUACGUGAUCCAAAUCAACUAAACCAUGUCCGAUCAUCACGUGAGAUGGAGUAGUUUCAAUGGUGAACAUCACUAUGUUGAUCAUAUCUACUAUAUGAUUCACGCUCGACCUUUCGGUCUCCGUGUUCCGAGGCCAUAUCUGUUAUAUGCUAGGCUCGUCAAGUUUAACCUGAGUAUUCCGCGUGUGCAACUGUUUUGCACCCGUUGUAUUUGAACGUAGAGCCUAUCACACCCGAUUAUCACGUGGUGUCUCAGCACGAAGAACUUUCGCAACGGUGCAUACUCAGGGAGAACACUUAUACUUUGAUAAUUUAGUGAAGGAUCAUCUUAUAAUGCUACCGUCAAACAAAGCAAGAUAAGAUGCAUAAAGGAUUAACAUCACAUGCAAUCAAUAUAAGUGAUAUGAUAUGGCCAUCAUCAUCUUGUGAUUGUGAUCUCCAUCUCCGAAGCACCGUGCUUGUGAUCUCCAUCUCCGAAGCACCGUGCUUGUGAUCUCCAUCUCCGAAGCACCGUCAUGAUCACCAUCGUCACCGGCGCGACACCUUGAUCUCCAUCGUAGCAUCGUUGUCGUCUCGUCAAUCUUAUGCUUCUACGACUAUCGCUACCGCUUAGUGAUAAAGUAAAGCAUUACAUGGCGAUUGCAUUGCAUACAAUAAAACGACAACCAUAUGGCUCCUGCCAGUUGCCGAUAACUCAGUUACAAAACAUGAUCAUCUCAUACAACACAUUAUAUCACAUCAUGUCUUGACCAUAUCACAUCACAACAUGCCCUGCAAAAACAAGUUAGACGUCCUCUACUUUGUUGUUGCAAGUUUUACGUGGCUGCUACGGGCUUAGCAAGAACCGUUCUUACCUACGCAUCAAAACCACAACGAUAGUUUGUCAAGUUGGUGUUGUUUUAACCUUCGCAAGGACCGGGCGUAGCCACACUCGGUUCAACUAAAAUGAGAGAGACAGUCACCCGCCAGUCACCUUUAAGCAACGAGUGCUCGCAACGGUGAAACCAGUCUCGCGUAAGCGUACGCGUAAUGUCGGUCCGGGCCGCUUCAUCUCACAAUACCGCUGAACCAAAGUAUGACAUGCUGGUAAGCAGUAUGACUUAUAUCGCCCACAACUCACUUGUGUUCUACUCGUGCAUAGCAUCAACGCAUAAAACCUGGCUCAGAUGCCACUGUUGGGGAACGUAGUAAUUUCAAAAACUUUCCUACGCACACGCAAGAUCAUGGUGAUGCAUAGCAACGAGAGGGGAGAGUGUUGUCCACGUACCCUCGUAGACCGACAGCGGAAGCGUUAUCACAACGCGGUUGAUGUAGUCGUACGUCUUCACGAUCCGACCGAUCAAGUACCGAACGUACGGCACCUCCGAGUUCUACACACAUUCAGCUCGAUGACGUCCCUUGAACUCCGAUCCAGCCGAGUGUUGAGGGAGAGUUUCGUCAGCACGACGGCGUGGUGGCGAUGAUGAUGUUCCACCGACGCAGGGCUUCGCCUAAGCUCCGCAACGGUAUUAUCCAGGUGUAAUGUGGUGGAGAGGGGCACCGCACACGGCUAAGAGAUCUCAAGGAUCAAUUGUUGUGUUUCUGGGGUGCCCCCCUGCCCCCGUAUAUAAAGGAGCAAGGGGGAGGCAGCCGGCCAAGGGGAGAGGCGCGCCAAAGGGGGGUAGGACUCCUCCUUUCCUUGUUGGAAUAGGAGAAGGGAAAGGAGAAGGAGAAAGAAGGAAGGGGGUGCCCCCCUUCCCUAGUCCAAUUCGGACCAGAUCAUGGGGAGGGGCGCGGCCACCUUUUGAGGCCUUUCUCUCCUUUCCCGUAUGGCCCAUUAAGGCCAAAUACGAAUUCCCGUAACUCUCCGGUACUCCAAAAAAUACCCGAAUCACUCGGAACCUUUCCGAAGUCCGAAUAUAGUCGUCCAAUAUAUCGAUUUUUACGUCUCGACCAUUUCGAGACUCCUCGGCAUAUCCCCGAUCUCAUCCGGGACUCCGAACUCCUUCGGUACAUCAAAACUCAAUAAAACUGUCAUCGUAACGUUAAGCGUGCGGACCCUACAGGUUCGAGAACUAUGUAGACAUGACUGAGACACGUCUCUGGUCAAUAACCAAUAGCGGGACCUGGAUGCCCAUAUUGGCUCCCACAUAUUCUACGAAGAUCUUUAUCGGUCAGACCGCAUAACAACAUACGUUGUUCCCUUUGUCACCGGUAUGUUACUUGCCCGAGAUUUGAUCGUCGGUAUCUCAAUACCUAGGUCAAUCUCGUUACCGGCAAGUCUCUUUACUCGUUCCGUAACACAUCAUCCCGCAACUAACUCAUUAGUCACAAUGCUUGCAAGGCUUAUAGUGAUGUGCAUUACUGAGUGGGCCCAGAGAUACCUCUCCGACAAUUGGAGUGACAAAUCCUAAUCUCGAAAUACGCCAACCCAACAAGUACCUUUGGAGACACCUGUAGAGCACCUUUAUAAUCACCCAUUUACAUUGUGACGUUUGAUAGCACACAAAGUGUUCCUCCGGUAAAGGGGAGUUGCAUAAUCUCAUAGUCAUAGGAACAUGUAUAAGUCGUGAAGAAAGCAAUAGCAACAUACUAAACGAUCGAGUGCUAAGCUAACGGAAUGGGUCAAGUCAAUCACAUCAUUCUCCUAAUGAGGUGAUCCCGUUAAUCAAAUGAUAACUCAUGUCUACGGCUAGGAAACAUAACCAUCUUUGAUUAACGAGCUAGUCAAGUAGAGGCAUACUAGUGACACUCUGUUUGUCUAUGUAUUCACACAUGUAUUAUGUUUCCGGUUAAUACAAUUCUAGCAUGAAUAAUAAACAUUUAUCAUGAUAUAAGGAAAUAAAUAAUACUUUAUUAUUGCCUCUAGGGCAUAUUUCCUUCACCCCUGUGUUCGAUGGACGGGGCUCCUCGUCAUCGUCCUUGCUUUGCGAUCCCUUCUCCUUGUUUUCGGCAUUUAACUUGCCGGCCUGUUUAAAAACCCAACAGUCUCUGUUGGUAUGAUUGGCUGGCUUGUCAGGGGUGCCGUGUAUCUGGCAUGGGCGAUCGAGUAUUCGGUCCAAACUGGAUGAGCCCGAAUUGUUCUUUUUGAACGGCUUCUUCCGCUGGCUGGACUUGGAGCCACUGAAUCCGGCGUUGACCGCCGUGUCGUCGGUAUUAUCAACGUUGUUUCGACGCUUGUGUCUGUUGCGUCGGAGCUUGCCGUUGCUAUUCCUGCCUUCCGCAGUGCCAAGUCGCUUACAUUGUUGUUGCUACAGGCUAGCCAGCUAUCUUUGCCCAUGCAAAAGCGGGUCAUAAGUGCCGUAAGGGCUGCCAUAGACUUCGGCUUUUCUUGGCCGAGGUGUCGGGCGAGCCAUUCGUCUCGGAUGCUGUGUUUAAAGGCCGCCAGGGCUUCGGCAUCCGGACAGUCGACGAUCUAGUUCUUUUGGUUAAGAACCUAGUCCGGAGUUUCCUGGCUGACUCUCCGGGCUGUUGAAUUAUGUGACUUAAGUCAUCAGCAUCCGGAGGUCGAACAUAUGUACCUUGGAAGUUGUCGAGGAAGGCGUCUUCCAAGUCCUCCCAGCUGCCAAUUGAAUUUUCGGGCAGACAGUUCAACCAGUACCGAGCUGGUCCCUUGAGUUUUAGCGGGAGGUAUUUGAUGGCAUGAAGAUCAUCACCAGGGGCCAUACGGACAUGGAGAAGAAAAUCCUCAAUCCAUACCGCGGGUCCGUUGUCCCGUCAUAUGAUUCGAUGUUCACGGGUUUAAACCCUUCCGGGAAUUCAUGAUCCAUUACUUCAUCAGUGAAGCAAAGGGGGUGUGCGGCGCCUCUAUAUCAGGCCACAUCGCGACGUAGCUCAGAUGGAGUCCGUCUGCGGUUCUCGGCCCGGGCGUGAGUAUGAUUGUUACGUCCGGCUAGAUAGCCGUUGUCGCGUAUCGGGGCGCGUCCCCGUGAUCCAUAGAUCGAUCUGUUCUGACCUGCUCUACUGUCCAAGCCCUGGCGCAGGUCGUAGGUAUGUCCUCGAGCUGUUUUAUCUCUGCCUUUACGGUGAGGUGGGGCGGGCUGGUGUUCAGCUUGAGUUGCCGCUUUGUCCCGACCAUGUGGUGGUCGGUCAGCCGCAUUGCGCAAUGAUGGUACGGGCUCCAGUGCCUCAUCAUCGAACUGAGGUAGCAAUUUACGCUUCGGGUAACUUUUGGCUGGGCGCUUGAGACCGUAUUCCUCGGCUGCCAGGACAUUAGUCCAUCUAUCGUUGAGCAGAUCUUGAUUAGCUUGAAGCUGAUGCUGCUUCUUUUUCAGGCUCCUUGCAGUGGCUAUUAGCCGGCGCUUAAAGCGCUCCUGCUCGAGAGGUUCCUCAGGCACGAUAAAACCCUCGUUGCCGCCUCGGAGAGCAGAAGAUAAUUACUGUCCUCCGAGUCUUCGUGUAUGGCCUGUUCAUCAGGGCUAACUUGCUCGUCUUCCCGUUCAUCCUGUUCGGAAGUUGCCUCAACGGGGUCUUCAUUGUCUUCGGCACUGUCCAGAGUGUUACCUUCUCUUGUGCCGGUAUCGCUGUCUUUUGCACGGCGUGAUUUAGAGCGGCACCGCUGACGUCGGUGUUUUGGCUAUAUCUCGGGAGGUUUAUCCUCGACUGGAUCCUUCUUGUUGUCGCCAUUGUUCUCUUUAGGUGUGUCCACCAUGUAUACGUCAUACGAGGAAGUGGUCGUCCAACGUCCGGUAAAUGGCGGGUUUUGGGCCUCCUCUUCUCCGACAUUGUCGUCCAUACCGUCGAUGUCUUCGGAGCUGUAAUCGAGCAUGUCGGUUAAGUCCUCGAUAGUGGCUAUGAAGUGGGCGGUGGGUGGGAAACGAAAUUCUCCGUCAUCAGCCUCCAGUUCGAACCGGAUAUAAUUCGGCUGUGAGUCCCCCGCUAAGGAGAGUGUUUUUAAUGAGUUUAGCACGUCACCUAAAGGCGAGUAUCGGAAGAUGUCCGCGGAGCUGAAUUUGACGAUCGACCCCCGAUCAAGCUCGUCGUGCGCGGACGCACAUGCUUCGGAACCUAUAGCCGGAAACGUGUUCGAGGUUCCGGUAACACAGAUCCCACUUGAGGUUGGGUCUGUGUGCGGCUCCAAUGCCGCUGAGUCUGCGGUCUCCAUGGCGGGGUUGAGCCUCCCGUCCUCGGAUGGCGUGAUCUGCUCCGGAUCUGGGGCCAGAGCAGUUGCAGGCGCUAUCUCCUGGGUAUGGUCCGAUGACAGAUUUAAGUCGUGUUCAUCGUGGUGACCGGGAGCGGCUGCCGCAGUCUCGAAUCCGUCGAAGAUCAAGUCUUCGCGGAUAUCCGCGACGUAGUUCAAGCUUCCGAAUCUGACUUGAUGGCCAGGGGCGUAGCUGUCGGUCUGCUCUAGAUGGCCAAGCGAGUUGGCCCGUAGUGCGAAGUCACCGAAUACGAAGAUCUGUCCGGGGAGGAAGACUUCUCCCUGAACAGCAUUGUUGUAGAUGAUUGACGGGGCCAUCGAACCUCUUGACGACGACACAGCGGAACUCUCAACGAAAGCACCAAUGUCGGUGUCAAAACUGGCGGAUCUCGGGUAGGGGGUCCCGAACUUUGCGUCUAAGGUCGAUGGUAACAGGAGACGGGGGGCACGAUGUUUACCCAGGUUCAGGCCCUCUCUAUGGAGGUAAUACCCUACUUCCGGCUUGAUUGAUCUUGAUGAAUAUGAGUAUUACAAGAGUAGAUCUACCACAAGAUCGUAAUGGCUAAAACCCUAAAAGUCUAGCCUGUAUGACUAUGAUUGUUCUUCUGCCCUCUACGGACUAAGCCCUCCGGUUUAUAUAGACACCGGAGGGGACUAGGGUUGUACAAAGUCGGUUACAGAGAAAGGAAUCUUCAUAUACGAACGCCCAGCUUGCCUUCCACACCAAGGUGAGUCCCAUCCGUACACGGGUGAGAGUCUUCAGUCUUGCAUCUUCACAGCCCAUCAGUCCGGCCCAUGUCCAACAGGCCGGACGCCCGAGGACCCCUUAAUCCAGGACUCCCUCAGCUGCGUCUCUGGCCCGCCCAGGACGAAAGGCCCAUUUUCUGUCAUGAUUUUUUGUCAUAGAAGUAGGAGCCCACCACAUCUAUGAUGAUAUCGGGUUUUGUCACAAUUAUCGUCAUAGAAGUGUCAUAAGCAUGACAGAAAAAAUUCAUUCGGCCCCAAAUGUCACAGAUGUGUCUUUUUUGUAGUGUAUGUUAAGUGUGUGCAUGUGUGCACGAUAUCAAGCGGCUCCUAAAGAGUGUCAUCUUAAGGCCAUGAAAAGGAUAGUGAGAUAUUUAAUUCAUACACCUAACUUUGGCAUUUGGUAUCCUAAGAGGUCAUCUUUUGAUCUUGUUGGCUAUUCCGACUCGGACUAUGUCGGUGACAAGGUUGAUAGGAAGUCCACUUCGGGUACGUGUCAAUUUCUUGGUAGAUCUCUUGUCUCUUGGUCCUCCAAGAAACAAAACUCGGUAUCCUUAUCCACCGCUGACGCGGAAUAUAUUGCCGCCGGAUCAUGUUGUGCUUAAUUACUUUGGAUGACCCAAACUCUUAAAGAUUAUGGGAUACAUGUGAAACAUGUUCCAUUGCUUUGUGACAAUGAGAGUGCUAUUAAGAUUGCUCACAAUCCCGUGCAACAUUCUCGAACUAAGCAUAUUGAACUUCGCCAUCAUUUCAUUCGUGAUCAUGUUGCAAAAGGAGACAUCAAUCUUAAGCAUGUUUGUACCGAUAAGCAAUUGGCGAAUAUAUUCACUAAACCGCUUGAUGAAAAUGUAUUUUGCCGUUUGAGAGGUGAAUUGAACAUAAUUGAUGCCUCAAACUUGGAAUAGAGAUUCCAUUUGGAUACAUGCAAGGCACGAGCCUUGGUGACUAAUUCUUAAUAUUUCUCUUAUGAUGGUGAUCAUUUGUCUUGGAUGUAUAUUUGCACCCUUGCAUGUUAUCUAACCCGUGUAGGUACUUGUAUGAGCCUAAAUCUAUGACAUUGCAAGUCACUCACAUUUUGAGCAAUUUCUACAUCACCAAGUUCCUAUGGUUUGGUUGUUGAUUUCAAGGAAGCAUGAACUCACUCAACAUAUCCUUUGACUAUUUCAAUAUAUUAAAUUUCAAUUGGCAUCAAGUUUCAUGAUUGUCAAUUUGGAUACACAAGUGCCCUUCCUUGCAAACUAACCCAUGUAGGAAGAUGAACUUCAACUCGAAAGGGUGCUCCCAACUACAACAACCUCAAGCAUCCAAUAUAGGUUCAACUACAUGAUCAAGAUCAACACACCAAUCAAAGGUAUGUUAUUCCAUCUUAGAGAAGCUUUACUCCAAAUCAUGAGUUAAAGCAACUCAACAAGGUGUGAAUACAUCAAAAUGUUUAAUGAAAAAUGGCAACCCCAUUUUGAGCUUAAACAUUGAGUAUGACCUAUGAUCAAGUGAUCUCACUUGACUCCUAAGUCAAUAUACUCUAACAUAGGUGACCUUGUCGCCGACCAUCUCUAGAUGAAGUUCUUUAGUAUUCUUGUGCCCUUUGUAUUUAUUUUGCAUGUUUUCUUUCUAGAGUGAUCCCUUCUAUCUUUCAAAAAAAUACUUCAUCUAGAUCUCUUUUGUUUUUCUCUGUCAUCUGUCUGUGUAUCUUAUGUUAAUUCAUUGCAAAUCCUUAUGACAAUUCCUUGAAAAUCUUUGUGAAAUUUCAUUUGCCAAGUGAGCUGAGAUGACAAAAUUUUCUUCUGCGUUGAACUCGGUCCCACCGAUCCAAGCCCGUCGGCCUGACCGAACUACAAGGAUCUCUUGUAUACAGUUCAUCGGCACAACCGACAAGGACUAACUCGGUCUGACCAACAAGCACCCUCUGUGGCUCUGAUAUCUCGAAAUCACCGAUGGAAACAGAUCGGCGUCACCGAUUUCCUUGCUGAGAAAACAUUUUGCCAUUUUAUAUUGCCUAUUUUCUUAAGCUCCACUCAAUGAUUUUUUUCUCUCUACCAGCAUCUCGAGCUACAUGCUGCUUUGUAGUGUCUCUCAAGGACCACACCUACCCGACUCAUAUUCCUGAAGUGCCCUUCUUGGAAAUUGAUGUCAAAGGGGGGGAGAGGGAGCACAUCAAAGCUUAUCAAAUCAAGAGAGCACAUGUAAGCUCUCCUAAAAGAUGCUUGUUAACAAGAGGAGAGAAGCCACAUGUCUUUAAGAGGGGAAAGACAUGUUAGUAUGAUUGAUUCUAGUUUUGCUCUAUCCUAUUCGAUCUAUCUUUGAUCUAUUUGCCUUCUUUGCUCUAGUUUUUAUCUCACCCAAUCUUCUCCCAUUAUCCAAUGUUAGAUUCAAGGGGAGAAAGAGUCUAUGUUUAACUUAAGGGGAGAAAAAUCCUUGGAACUUACUGCAAAUCUUUACAUCUUUGGGGACGUGUCUAUAUCUGAAUGAAGUACUCACUUAUAGUACUCACCCAUUACAUGUCAUCCCAGUCUUGGUAUUCUUGUGGAUCUUGGAAUCCUUGUUGUUUGGAGUGUUCUUGUGUUAUCUAACUCUGUUUUCUCAAGUCUACUCCUUCAAAAGUCUGCUCAAGAACCACAAGGUAAGUAUAUGCAUCACACUCAUGUGCAUGAUAAUCUCUUGUUGUUGCACAUAUUGUUUGCAAGAGGGAUUCAUAAACAUGAUGGUACAUUUUCAAUCACAUUAUUUGCUCUGAUGCAUAUAGCCAAGAUACAUGUGACACAUUAUCUACUCGUCAUGCUAUGCAUUCACAUGUUCUUCCAUCUUAUCUUUACUUGAUUGCAUACAUGUAGGGGGAGCUUAUGCAUGUUACAUGUCUCUCCAAAGCUUUGAUUACUAUUCUUUAUAUCAUUUAUUUAAAGCUUUGAUGUAUCUUGUCAUCAAUUACCAAAAAGGGGGAGAUUGAAACCACAAGUGCUCCCAUGGUGAUUUUGGUAAUUAAUGUCAACAUAUCUCUUUUUGGACUAAUGGUUUCAUCUAGUAUAUUUCAGACAAGUUCAACAUUGGCGUGGCAUGGACAAGAGGAUAUGGAACCCCUUCAAAAUGCUAAGGACAAAUAUUGGCAAAAGCUCAAGACUCUUCAUCUUUAUUUUUAGUGAUCCAAGAUCACAUUGAGUCCGUAGGAAAACCAAUACUAUUAAAACGGGAUGAGGUGUUGCUUAAUGGAUUGCUUGCUCAAAUGCUUAGUGAUAUUGCUCCAAAACCCUCAACCACUUUCUCCAUCCAAAUAUGUCCAAAACCUAAACUACAACUCGGCCCCAUCGAUUCUUUCUAUCUGGAGCCACUGAGUUCACAUGACUUAGCCACAGCCAGAAACCCUAGCAAUUCUGUCUCACCUAUACGGGUCUCGGUCUCACCGAGAUAGCCUUGCAAACUCUCUGUAACCUGUUGUAAUUAUUUCGAUCUCACUGAAAUGUGCAAUCGGUCCCACCGAGUUUGCUUGACCAACUCUUUGUUGCCCUAUUGCUUCACUUCGGUCUCACUGAGUUGAUGCAAUCGGCGCCACCGAGAUGAGGUUUGCCCUAAGCCCUAGCACAUCGGCCCCACCGAGUUGUUCCAGUCAGUCCCACCGAGAUUCCUAACGUUCACAUUUUUGAACUGAUCGGUUCCACCAAGUUUAACCAUUCGGGCUCAUCGAGAUGAGUCAAAUGUGUGUAACGGGUGGAUUUUGUGUGGAGGCUAUAUAUACCCCUCCACCCCCUCUUCAUUCAUGGAGAGAGCCAUCAGAACAUGCCUACACUUACACGAUUCAUUUUCUGAGAGAGAACCACCUACUCAUGUAUUGAGAUCAAUACAUUCCAAUCCUACCACAAGAAUCUUGAUUUCUAGCCUUCCCCAAGUUGCUUUUCACUCAAAUCAUCUUUCCACCAUAGCCAAAUUUGUGAGAGAGAGUUGAGUGUUGGGGAGACUAUCAUUUUAAGCACAAGAGCAAGGAGUUCAUCAUCAACACACCAUCUAUUACCUUUUGGAGAGUGGUGUCUCCUAGAUUGGUUAGGUGUCUCUUGGGAGCCUUCGUCAUGAUAUGGAGUUGAACCAAGAAGUUUGUAAGGGCAAGGAGAUCACCUACUUCGUGAAGAUCUACCCGAGUGAGGCAAGUCCUUCGUGGGCGAUGGCCAUGGUGGGAUAGACAAGGUUGCUUCUUCGUGGACCCUUUGUGGGUGGAGCCCUUCAUGGACUCUCGCAGCCGUCACCCUUCGUGGGUUGAAGUCUCCAUCAACGUGGACGUACGAUAGCACCACCUAUCGGAACCACGCCAAAAAUCUCCGUGUCUCCAUUACGUUUGCAAACUUCAAUCACAUCCAUUUACUUCUUGCAACUUGCAUGCUUUACUUUUUCCGCUGCAUAUACUCUUGUCAUGCUUGCUUGAAAUGUAUUGACAGUGCUUUAACAUGUGCUAAACUCAACCUUAACUUGAAGAAUUUAAAAAACUGCCACUUUUACUUGUUAAGGGUCUAAUCACCCCCCUCUAGACCCCUCUUCUCGAUCCUUUCAAUUGUCCACACUACAAGUGCAACUAGAAGACCCCUCCCCCUUUGCGAAUGAACUAGAAGACCCCUUGGUCCUCAGCCUUGUUAUUAUUUUUACUUUUGUGGAAGGGGAUACGAGUCGUGAGAUCUGCCACAUCAAGUGGUCGAGUGCGCCUCCAUCAUUUCAACACAAAUUUUGUUGUAGAAUUAUUUCUGCAACAAAAGUCUUGUUGCAUAAUUUUUUUGUAACAGUUGUUUUGUUGCAAAAAAAAUUUACAAUUGAGGUUUUGUCUUGAAAAAUUAUGUAAUUGAGAUCUUGUUGCAGAAUAUUUUUGCAAUAGAGGUUUUGUUGCAAAACAUAUAGCCGUCGUCGACCAUUGCAAUACCACAUAUGUUUCGGAAACAUAACCCUGUUAGAGAAGCGUGUUCGACAAAUGAUGGUUUGCGGGCCCUCACUUGGACGUGUGUCAUAAAAGGAAGGUGCCGGAUGCGGCCGCUACAAUCCGCCGGGUGAUGGUAAGUGUUUCCCUUUGCGGAAAGGCUAAAGGUCAUAAAUUAGAUAAAACCAACCUUUACAAAACACUUGGAUAUAUAAGAAUAAGAAAUUACAAGCAAGUUUUUAAAGAAAACUGCACCAUAUUUCUUCUGUAUCUGUCAGUGAAGCAAUCUUGUUGAAACACAUGAGCUUGGCAAAACAUUGGCUGGGAGGUCGUUGACUUAGAUGUCAACGGUCACGAUCUACGCCGACCACAAACCCCGAGAUGCCGGCAUCGAGUAGGUCCCAAAGAUAAUCCCAACUCCGGCAAAAAAUGGAGGUGGCACAAACCUCAAGAGUUCCUCGACGAAGCACCAUCUGGAUGAGCUUAACCGGGCGAAAAAGAAAACCUAGAAAGGGCAGGCGAUCACCUAACAAAAAUGAAGACAAAACCAGACCCAAAUUAUGGCCCUGCAUGAAGCUUCACGCGUCCUCUCAUGCAAAACAAUGAUGCUUAGGUUUUCUCAGAGUCCCACGGUUGGUUGCUCUCACCCCAGGAUGCCUUUUUCGAAUUUGUUAAUUUUCAUCUAGAUGAGACUCAACAAAAUCUCAUCUAACUUCUACACUAUUUGAUUAUCCAAAUAAAAAAUAUAAAAAAUCUUUUUUUUCUAUGCCUUGUAUUUUCUUCCUGUCUAUGUUUUUCUAUGCCAUCGGCCUCUUCUUCUAGCAAUGAAAUCUGGCCUCUUCUUCUAGCAAUGAAAUCUUAGCAGCUCUCCUGCUGAAUUUUCAAAAGAAAAGAAAAAAGAGGACAACAAAACUGAGCUGGCAAAAAUGUCCGCGGAUCCGCGUGACCCAGCCGAGCCCUACGGCCCGCCCGACCCAACCUCCGACACCCGCCGCCGGGAACGCGCAUGCGCAUCCGCCGCCCGUUCUCCGCUGACCGCGCCCACCUUCCCCGCCGGCCGAGUCAACCCAAUCGCCCAACACGAAACCAUCCCAAUUCCCCUCCAUUUCCGCCCAAAAUACUCCGGCAACAGCAAGGCUCACCAGAAUGCGGCCUCUCCUCAGCGCCGCCGCCGUCCUCCUCCUCCUCCUCCUCCCCCUCGCCGCCGGCCAGCGAUUCCGCGGCUUCUCCUACCUCCUCGACUGCGGCGCCGCGGCCCCCUCCACCGACAGCCGCGGCCUCCGCUGGGACCCCGACGGCCCCUACGUCUCCGCCGGCUCCGCCCGUCCGCUCUCGGUCCAGGGCCUCCUCGACCCCACCCUCGCCUCCCUCCGCGUCUUCCCGUAUCGCCCCGCCGCCAAGUUCUGCUACGCGCUCCCCGUCGACCCCAAUCGCCGCUACCUCCUCCGCCCGACCUUCUUCUACGGCCCCUCCUCGACGGCCCCGCCCGUGUUCGACCUCAUCGUCGACGGCACCUUCUGGACCGCCGUCGACACCGCCGAUGACAUCCUGGCCGGCAGCGCCUCGCACUACGAGGCCGUGUUCCCGGCCAGGGGCAGGAACUUGACCUUCUGCCUCGGCGUCAACCCCGACUACACCGACUCCGGCCCGUUCAUCAACGCGCUGCAGGUCAUCCAGCUCCAUGAUUCGGUGUACAACGCCACGGAUUUCACGGGCAGCGCCAUGGGCCUCAUUGCGCGCACCAAGUUUGGCUCCACUGGCGACGUCGAGAGGUGAGUGCCCACUUCUCUGGCCUUGAUUUCAGUGCCCUUCUAGUGAUGAAGUGCUAGAUGUUCUGUGAUUUCCCAUAAUUUGAGUAGGUUUAGGAAUUAGGACUGCAGAAGCAGAACUGACUCAUUGUCGAUAUGGCUGAGAAUGCUGUCGAUCAGGCAUACACCAGUUUUUGUCGCAAGAUAGUACCAGUUGGGCCAGUUCUUUGUGAACUGAAUAGCUAUAGGUUUCAGCUGUUUCUGAUCUGAGGUUUAUUUUGUCAUGUAAAGUAACUCUGGAUGUGGUUCACAACAUUUAUUCGGUAGAUGUAGGUUGAUUUGGUAGUUUUCUUUCUUUAGAACUCUUCUAAUUUAUAUGGUCAUGUUGCGGCUGUUGCUUCUUUUGGCUCCUAUAGCAUGUUGAGCAAUGAACAUGAUUCCCCAAUCCCCAAUAUCAAAGAAGCAGAAUUCACCAUAUCGAAUCCCUAUACUUUUUCGAGGAAACAUGUGCAUGCACUAGUGAUUAGAACUUUACAAGUGUAUUCCAAGGAACAAAUAGGUACUCCCUCCGUAAACUAAUAUAAGAGUGUUUAGAUUACUAUUUUAGUGAUCUAAACACUCUUAUAUUAUUACAGAGGGAGUACUUGUUAAAAAGAUGCUCACUAAAUGAAGUACAAAAAGGAAAGAAGCGUGUCGGCCUAUAUGAUAUAUGUUUCUCUUUUCUUUCAUUCUCCCUUUUGUAGAGGACUACAAAUUACAAGCUUUAUGUAGUUUUUUCUUGUGAGGAAGUUCUGUAGAUCCCUGACUUCAUUUUCUUCAUUACAUUCGAACUUAGGUACCCUGAUGACAGUUUUGACCGCUAUUGGCAGCCAUUUCCAGACAGCAAACAUGCAGUCAGUAGUACCCACAACGUUACAUCAGCCGAUUUCUGGAAUCUUCCUCCUCCUGAUGUAUUUAAUACAGCUUUGGUAGCAGAACAAAAUGCACCAUUGGUGUUGCAAUGGCCUCCAAUAUCUCUUCAGAAUGGCAGCUAUUAUGUUUCCCUUUAUUUUGCUGAUACAUUGGCUAAUAGUUCGAGGACCUUGGAUGUGAAUAUUAAUGAUUACCAGUUUUACGAAGGGACAGUAACAUCAGCUGGUCUUUCUGUCUUUGCAACUCAAUGGAUUCUCUCAGGCCUAACCAGAGUUAUAUUGACUUCUAAGUCUGUUCUUCCACCACUUAUCAAUGCUGGCGAAGUCUUUGGAAUUUUUCCCAUUGGAAGACUGACAAUUACACGUGAUGGUACAUCAUUUGCUGCAUUUAUUCCUUUAUUAUCAAUUGUUUCCCCCUGAGUUGACAGUGCAUGCAAACAUGCAAUGAAACAUUUCCUGUUCAGCCUGAUGCAAUGCACAUUACGUAUGUAAAUGUGUAAUGAUUCUGGUAGCACUGAUUCAGUUAUUUGUAUGGUAGAUUGCAUGUUUAUGUACUGUGUUAGCAACAUGUCAUCAAAAUGUGCUUUCGGUGAAUUUGCGUAUACAUGACCAUUCGACAUCUCUCCCAAUUUUAGCAUCACCUCGAGUCGUACUUGUAUUGUUCAGGUAUUUUUAUCAAGUGUGCACAUCGACUUUAGGUUGUACUGAGUGUCCUUUAAAUAUUGUUGUGGGCGUAUUACAUGUUCUUGCAAUGCAGCAAGUUGCUCUAACUUGCGCCUGUCUCUUUUAUGAAAUUGACCUAGUACUUCCAUUUCUUUACAGCGCUUGCUAUGGAGAGUAUGAAGAGAAGCCUCCAAAACAUACCUGAUGAUUGGAUUGGAGAUCCAUGUAUGCCUCAUGGAUAUGCUUGGACUGGAGUUACAUGUCAAGAAGGACAAAAUGAAAAUAUACGUGUCAUUUCAUUGUGAGUUCAACUCAUGAUCCUUCCAUCUAUACGAUGCAAUUCUUUUAUCCUUUGCAAGUUUGCAGUAACAAUUCUUUGUAUUGGUCUACACCAGGAACUUUUCAAGUAUGGGUAUCUCCGGAUCUCUGUCACCUGACAUUGCAAACCUGACUGCUCUUACUGAUAUGUAAAUUCUAUUUAUAAUCGAUCAAAGUGAAUGAAAUAUAAGCUAGCAAAAUGACACUAUUACCAUUGGCAGAUCUUUUGCAAACAAUAGCUUGUCUGGAACUAUUCCUGAUCUCAUCAAUCUGGGUAAACUCCAACGACUGUAAGCUAACCCUUCGACCUUUGCAAAUUAGUUUGAAAAUUGUUUAUACAAUCAUACUAUUUAUACGUUACUUCGAAAAUUGGUUUGUCUUUACUCUUUAGGUACCUGAAUGAUAACAAGUUGAAUGGAAAAAUAGCUCAGACGUUGGGGACAAUUCAGCCCUUGCGUGAACUGUGAGUUGAUUUGUGUCAAUAUUUUUACUUAUUGGUUAUUGUUCCAGUUUCAGAAUAUUUGCCUGCAUUACUUCUCAUGUCUGAGUAUUCAAAGAACAGAAAGCAUAAAACACGAAAAGCCUAGCAACUAUUUUAGAAACAUUUGCCAGGCCCCCGGGUUGCCCUUUCAGGCAGCACUUAGAUCAUAGGACUGAUGGCAGCGUGGCUUCUUCCCGCUCGUCCAUUGCCAAUGGUGUUGGAGGAGGAUGGUUACUAUGUGCCGUUCAGAUCUUUCCAGUGGUGUUUGGUUCCAGGAGGUGUUUUGCUCGAUUGGCGCAGUGGCUGUAGUGGUAAAUGUGGCAGCUCUGGCGGUCAUGGAGGCUCAGAUCUGGAAGCUGAAGCGGCUCCUUGGCCAUAAGUGAAACUGAUCCCAUAUCCACAGUAUUUUGCCAUAAGUGCAACACCUCAAACCUGGGGGACUCUAUUUUAUUCUCACUGCAAGUUCCCUAGAUUGUUGUUGUUAAUUCACGUGGGAUGGAGCUUUCUCUCAAAUUCCCACUCCUAAUUCCCACCAAGCACCAAACGUGGGUUUGGGACUAAUAAUCAACUUCUCAAGCCUAAUCCCCCAAUAAACCCCCACCUGUAAAUUGCCGUCCCCUUUCCCCGAAAUAGCCAUACACGCUGAGAGAGUAUUCAAGCCACAAACUUUUUUCUAUGUCGAUCUACAGUAGUUCAUUUUCAUUCUGAAGAUGUAACUAUUCCUUGGCCAAUAUUCGGUAUCUGCAUGGUGUGCUUAUUUCUGUUGUUGGCAAUUUUACCCAUUGGAUAUAUUUGAUUCACCCCUGAGUAGCCAAUUGCAUCUCCUUUAGUGCAUUUUGUGAGUUUUUGCAGUCGGCAUUUUGUUAGAAAAAAAUGAUUGGUCGUUUGUAAAUCGACUGUACUUGCAUGGACUCCGUGCAAUGUUUAACAAAAAAAUAUCCGCAUGUAAAUUGUAUUCCCUCGGUUCCAAAAUAAGUGCCGUGGUUUUAGUUCAAAUUUGAACUAAAAGUCUAAAACAAGGACACUUGUUUUGGAACGGAGGGAGUAAGUUCUAAAUUGUCAAUAUCGUUGAGAUUCUUGCUUGCACCAUCUGGUGCAUCACAAGUUUUGAAUGUUCUUACAAUCUACUUACUUUCAUUUCCAAAUUAGCUGCACUUUAUUUGCUUUUGCACAAGUCAUAGCAAAUCACUUGUUAACUUGCUUACUGUUUUUUUCAUGUAUCCAGAUUCUUGCAAGGCAAUGAGCUGGGUGGAGCAGUUCCACAGAACUUGCUGAACAAAACGGGGUUGACUAGCAAGUAAGUUUCAUCUAAGGUUUUCCAGGAAAUCUUUAUUACUAAGGAUUUCCCAUGUUCAUUGGACACCUCGUAAUUUUAUUUCAUUUGGUUGUAGAUUUUGUCCGGGCAAUCAGUUCACACAACCACCGUGCUGACAAUCGAACAUCUUAUUGAAGACAGUAGGAUGGUGUGUUUGUUCUUUUAGGAUGGCUAGAGCAAGAUUUUGUAACCAGUCAAAUGUAUGUACAGUAAAAUGAUUGGAAUCCAGUGAGACGAGUUGGCGGAAGCAGGUGAAGAUAAAGAAUCCUGAUUGUACAGUGCCAAUUCUGUAGUUUACAUUGUCAGUGUGUAAUGCAAGGAGAAAAUGAAACACUGUUAAAUUCUCUCAACUUGCUUUGGACUGCGUUCCAACGAAACAUUACAACCCUGAACUGAAUCAGAUUCCUUUUUUUAGAUGAACUGAAUCAGAUUCCUUGCAUACACCUUCUCUGCCCCGUCUCGUCUUCCCAGCCCCCACUACCCUGCAAAAUUUCGGCGCCCUGAGAGCCAGCUUCAAGAGCGACUGGUGAAGAAAUGAUAAAACCAAAAAGCCAAUCGUGUAACUUUACAGACUUUAUUUUCCUUGAGAAGAAACACCCACCGGCAUUUCAAACGAGGGAAUACACUAAAGACCCAAGCAAGAAAUGAAAAAUAUACCGUGCCCUACAAAGUCAUUCAACUCCGUCUUUUUAGCCAGCCCAUGAAGAGCGCUCCCGAAGAAAAUUUUGUCAGAAAGGUUGCAAAGAUGGAACCAGAAUCUCUAGCAACCACACACGCCACCAUGGGCUAUAGAAACUGCAACAGAAACUUAUCGCCAGAGGCAGGACAAGGCACACGCUUGACCAACAAGUCGCUGAACAUCCGUCGCAAAACCACCAUGUGUAAGUUAGAAGAAUACGAGGCUUGACGAAGAGAGGAGGCACUCCUGUACCACAAUGAUGCUCGCCCAGAUCCACAGAACCACCCCUCACAAGUCUACCAACGAUGUUCCCCUCCAUGGAGGGGGAACGGCAACCUUGCCGGAGAAACAGGAAAACCCCUAGCUGCCUUGUUAUGGGAGAAUUAAAGGAACGAGAUAUGUCUAGCUGUUUGGUUGCCUAACCACAAAGAGGAACCAGCUUGCACUGGUCCGAGAGGAACACUCAAAUCGGUGGUUCCCAGCAAUGCAGGCCCGAACCGAUGCAAAAAGGCUCCAUUAGUUCAAUGCAACGAGAGGGGAUGCAAGCAACCAAACAAACUGCACAGCUUGACCGAUACCUCGUAUUAGCCCAUACAGGCUCUACCGGGUCAAGGUUCCAGGAAGCCUAAAAUGAUGCAAGUAACCAAACACACCCGGAGUGCACUGCAGCACCGAACAGUAUAUUACCGCAAGUUGGAGCAACUCUUCAAACGCACACCGGAUGAAAAGGCUACCACACAAAACAGAAACUCCACAAUGUGCCCAAAAAGCCCACCCGCCUGGAAAUCUUCCAUUUGUCUACAGUUACUCAAAGACACACUCGGCAGUUUUCAAUGAGAAAACAAUUUAUUCGAGACGCAAAGACGGCCUUUAG